rnacentral:lncRNA from 1 species
AUGCUAUACCCCCUAAUUCGGUGUCAUUAAUUGCAACGCAGAAGUCCUGGAGGGGACCGGGGUCAGAGCUAGAGACAAGGGAGGUUGCGAAUGCCAAGAUGGCAACAAUGCAUACGAGGAACUGAGCACCUUUCAUGGCUAACUAGGGUAUAAACUUAACUUAAGAUGCCUCAAAACUUGUAUUAAUGUGUAGAGGGUGGGAUGAAAAUCCUGUAUGGUGCAUAUGCCUAUUUAUAGAUCGGAAAGAAUUACUUGGUCUUGGCUAUACUUUCACUAUCGAAGCACGUAAACCCCAAAAUAUUAAUAUCCAGAAGGAGGUUAAGACUUUGUUUGAUGAAAUAUUUUAGUCGGUAUUGACCAAAAUUUCUUUCCCUCAUCCAUACAUGGUUCAAUUUCUUAUAUCCACAUAAUCUUUUUGAGAAAAUUAAUUAAUAUCAAAAUUUUGAAUAUUUGACAGUGCAAAAUUUUAAAAAACACUAAAUCGUCUAACAAAUUUUUUUUUUUUGUAAAUAUGGUACCCACUCGUAUAACUGCGCUGUUUAACUUAGGGUUUCAUUUGAACUAUACUUUCCCUUCUAUAUUAAUACUAAUUACUGGGGACAAAAUUUUUCUACUCAACUUACUAAGUUUCAAGUUCAAACUCUCCCUUUAGAGUAACUUAAAUUGUAAUAUCACCUUGUAAUAAAAAAAAUAUAACUCUACACAAAAUGCUUAAGCGAAUUACAAUUUCAAAUACAGAUAAUUGUGAGUACUACUACUUCAAAAUAGUUAUUCCAUACUCUUUACUUUUUUUGUUACGUUUUACACUAACAUGAUGCCAAAUGCUAUUUUAGUGUAACAAUACUAAUUUCCUUGAAUGAUUCUUUGUGUUUAGCACUUACAUGCUAACUUUUUAGUUUUCAUUUAAUUACCUUCUCUAAACGGCUAUUAGCUGGUACAGGGUCAGGUGAGAAAUAUUCAUGGGGAUAAAAACCAUGUACUAGGAGUUGGAGAUAUUUUUCGAUGUACCAUAAAGACCGCUCAGUAUAUCAAAUGUAAUAAUAUAAUUGAUUGAAUUUUUUUAAGUUUCCAACUAUUUUGUUAUUAUACUUAUGUACUUAAUCGUGUUUUCGAUUUCUAAAGAGUUUUGAGUUUAGACUAAAAGAAAUAAUAGUUAAAGGUGAUGCGAUAUGCAUAUUAAAACGUGCAAUUAACAUUGAAGUUGGCAAGUUUGCCUCAAAGUUGACAAUUUUGCCUCGAAGUUGGCAAGUUUGCCUCAAAGUUGACAAUUUUUCCAAACACGGACAGAUACCAAAUGCUAUUUUAGUGUAACAAUACUAAUUUCCUUGAAUGCUUCUUUCUGUUUACUACUUACAUGCUAACUUUUUUGUUUUCAUUUAAUUACCUUCUCUAAGAGCAACUCCAAUGUGGGAACCUUCUUUCAGGCUAUUCACUAUUCAAUCCAUCAUAUGAACAGUAACAUUCUUAAUGAAUAGUAACUGUUUUUUGUAUCUCCACCGUUGCACUUGAAUAGCCUUAGCAAUAGGCAAUAAAAUAUAAUUUUUUUUAAAUAAUGCUGAAUAAUUUUUUAUUUGUAAUUUCGGAUAAGGUUUUUAAUCGUUCUCGUUGCGCUACGUGUCAUUAUCCGAAAAGGAAAUUAUUUUAAAAAAAUUUCAUAUUUUUUUUGGAUUUUUUACAAUUUUUUUAAAAUUUUUUUAUUCAACUAAUUAAUCUCUGCCGUUAGAUUUAAAAGAAAAUUGAAUUCCAACACUCCAGAUUGUGCCACGUGUCAUAACGAUAACUUUUCUUAAUUUUAAAACUAGUUUUUUUUUAUAAAGGAGAAUAAUAUCAACCGUUGAUCUCAGAUCCAACGGUUGAUAUUAAAUAAGAUUUUUUUUUACCGUUGCAAAUCGAACGGUCCAAAUUAUAUAGCCUUUGAGAUCCAACGAUAACUUUGUCAAUCUGUAACACGGGCCCUGGCUUCUGAAAAGGUGUCGGCUGACGCACCCCCACUCGCGGGUGAGGCGCAAGCGCCUGACAGAAAAAAAAUAAAAAAUUGGGCUGACGCUAGGAUGACGUUAGCCCUUGCGUCAUAUCCACUCGGGCUCGCAAGCUGGCAAUUCCUCACAGGCUCGGAGCUCGGGCCUCCACUCUCCCACGGGCUGCCCACGCUGAAGCUUUAAGGCCGGGCUGUCUAGCCCUUUUUCCUGGCUUGUCCCCCGAGCAAACUCCCACGGUGGAGUUGCUCUAAGGGGCAAUUAGCUAGUACAGGGUCAGGUGUGAAGAAAAUGUUUAUAUAUUCAUGGGGAUAAAAACCCUGUACUAGGAGUUGGUGAUAUUUUUCAGUGUACCAUAAAGACCGCUCAUUAUAUCAAGUAUAAUAAUACAAUUGAUUGAAUUUUUUUAAGUUUCCAACCAUUUUGUUAUUAUAUUUAUGUAUUGAACCGUGCUUUCGACCCUAAAAAAAAAUAUUCAAGGAGUUUUGAGUUUGGACUCAAAGGAGUAGUUUAAGGUGAUGCGAUGUGGAUAUUAGCACAUGCAAUUAACAUUGAAGUUGAGAAGUUUGACUCAAAUAAAGUUGACAAGUUUGAAAUAUUUUUUUCAGUGUUCGGUUGCUGGUUGCUGGGCACAGAGGAAUUCAAAGAGACAAUUGAGCAAUAGUAGGGAAGAAGAAGGGGAUUUGGGGUUAUUUUUUUCACUUUUCUUUAUAUAAUUAUUUUUUUUAAUUUUUAAUUUUCACGUGGACCCUUUAAUGACACAUGGCGUCUAGUUAUUGUUGGUAUUGGCACCACAUCAUCAGUUAACAGAAGAUUUAACAGUCAGACUAACGGCUAUAUGAAACUGUUCCAACAUUAACACUUUAGGUAUGACUCUGGGAUAAAAAAAACUUUAUGUACCAAAUGUUGAAAACCACGAAACUUGAUGGUCGUAAACUAAUAUUUACCCUAUUAUAUAUUAUUUUAUCUUAUGACCGAUGUUGGAUAAUAUUCUCCAACACGCCCCUUGACACACCCCGAUCCAAGAAUCAAGGCGUGUUGGCCGUCACACCUUGAUUCUUGGAUCGGGGCGUGUCAGUUUGGUAUCAGAGCCAAGUUUUGAUCCUGGGACCUAUGGGUUCGUCACGCCUUGAUUCUUGGAUCGGGGCGUGUCACCCCUCACAAGUGGCUCCACACGAGAUCACAAUGGAAUCCAAUUCCCACAUUGAAAACUGGUCAAGUCAUUAUACGAAGCUAACACAACUUAAGGAGGUGAAUUUGAGCACAAUAAAUCGCGCUCAGAACUUGUCGAAAGAAUAGUUUGCUCUGAUACCAUGAUAAACUUUAUAGCCUAUGCAGGACCACCACUAAUAUCACCGAUAUUGUUCCAACUUAACCACUUAUUACUAAGUUUGUUAAAAAAAGAAAGCCACAACUAGGUGUUAGAUUUUAUCACAAAUGCCUCGAUAAUAUUAGGAGCUAAUAUUAUUCUAAAGGCUAAUGCUAGAUAUGAGCUAAAAGUUAGUAGGCCAUGCAUUUUGUUUGUUAUCUGAAUGGUGGUGGAGGUGAGCCCCCAUGCCCACAUGAUUUUCAGUCGUUCAUUUCGGAUUCAAUGGUACUCACAAAUUACGAAUGAGGAUUCUCUUCGGAUUCUUUUUGUGAAGAUUUAGAUGAUCUUUUAUUCGUAUCCGUUUAUCGUAAAUUGUACAACUAGUUUUUAUUAGGUACUAUUUAUGUUCAAUUUUAAAUAAUAAUUUUAAAAUAAUUUCUAAUCAUAAAAUGUACGAUAAAUGAAUCCGAUUAAUGAAUUACUGAUAUUAUCACAAAAAAAAAUACAAAUAAGAUCCUCAUUCGCAAAUGACGUGGCCACAAGGAAUUGUGCGUGUGCACACACAAAUCUCGAACUCUCGACUCUUGAGUACUCUUAACAGCUACAAUAAAUAAUGUAUAAAAAAAAGGGUAAAUAACAAAAAAUUACUUCAACUAUCGGUGUCACGAUACUUUUAUACCUCGUCUUUUAAAAUUGACAAUGUCAUACCUCAUAAUACGAAUUUGUGCUAAUGUCAGACUUUUGUCAGUUUUUCUAUUAAUUUCUCCGUAAAGUGCUGACGUGGCUAGAGACGGGACCCAUUUUUUAUUAAAAAAUUAAAAAAAAAACAAAAAAAAACCAAAAAAACCCAUCAACCAAUGUCCCCCAUCCCCAGAUCCCCUUCUCUCUCUCCUCUCUCUCUCUCGCCUCUCUCUUCUUUCUCCCUGCAACUUGCAUCCCCAAAAUCCCAAAACCUAGAUCCUCCCCCACUUCUCUCUCUCGCCAUGCCCAGAACCCCCUAAACCCAAUUGGGGUUUUUCAUCUGCCAUCCCCUUUCCUCCUGUAUUCUCUCUCAUUUUCUCCCUUUCACGCUGCAACAACAGCCUCGUCGUGGCGAAGACCUUUGUUUUCUCCGCCCCUUAUUCUCCUUUUAUACUGUUUCCCUCAAUCCCCCAUCAUUCCGUCCUCCCCCUCCUUCAUUUCUCUCUGCUCAAAUUUUCUCACUUACCAAACAGACGGAAGCAGUAAAAGAGGGGGCGGCGAUGUCUUUCUCAUCCACCGCUCCCUCGCUCAAACCCUCAAAAUCUCAUCCAUAAAUUCUCCAAAUCGAACAACCCGUAGGCCUCCGAUGACCCAAAAACGACGUUGUAGGUCCGACUGGUCCAAGGCUCGUUGAUAAAGAAGGUGUUAUAGUCUAUCAAUGACCUGGUAAAUGAUGCCAACUUCGACUACUCCUCCUCCGGCUUCUCCCUUUAGGCCAAGGACUCCAGCCACGUGGUGCUCGUCACCUUCCUCCUCAAAUACGAAGGCUUACAGCACUAUCACUGCGACCGCAACAUCUUCAUAGGCAUGAACAUCGUCAACAUGUCCAAGAUGCUCAGGUGCGUCGGAAAUGAUGACACCAUCACCAUCAAGGCUAACAAUGGCAGUUAUACCAUCAAGGCUGACCGAACCAUCGAGGCUGUUGUUGCAGCGUGAAAGGGAGAGGGAGAGAGAAUACGGGAGGAAAUGGGAUGACGGAUGAAAAAACCCAAGUGGGUUUGGGGGGGUUCUGGGCAUGGUGAGAGAGAGAAGUGAGGGAGGAAGGAGACUUUGGGUGGGUUAAGGGGUGGGUCUCCCAUACAAAAAAAAUAUUAAAUGAUUUUAUAUUUUUAGUCUUUAAUAUUUAAUUAUUUUUUAAGCCACGUCAUUAUUUAACGGAACAGUUGACUGACCAACUGACGGAAGUUAUGAAAUUGUAAUAAAUUCAUAGAUGAGGUAUGACAUUGACAUUUGUUUAUACCAUACUUAGGGCCUCCGUAUUUAGACCUCGUAUAAAUACUUGGGGACUUAAAUGUAAUUAUGUAAUAAAGGAAGGGGCAAAUAUGUAAUAAGUGAGGGACCCUUAUUCUAUAAAAUGACCAUUCACCCUCACAAUUAGAGAGGCCAUUUUCUUAGGCCAUGGGAAGAGCUCUCUCACCCUCAGAAGCUCUCUUCCUCACUCCCCUCACCUCUCAGAGAAAUACAAUAAUCAAUGUGGACGUAGCCCAAACCUUGGGGUGAACCACGAUACAUCUUGUGUUAUUUACAUUACUUGUAGAUUCACGGUCGGAUUUACGUUGUUCCAAGACCUUCAGUUUUGUGCAUCAACAUUUGGCCUCGUCUGUGGGAAACGACACAAAAACUUAUGUCGGUUCUCUUUCAUUUUUUUCAUCUCAUCACCGUGAGACCUCAUCACUGUCCACCGUGGAUCUGCAAAACCCACACAGAGACACAGACACAGAGCUCUUUCUCUCUCUGAAAUUCCAAUUUACAGAGUUGUUUUGUCUUCCACUGUUUCCAUCUCCCAAAAUCUCUCUUCCAUCCACACGCUUCUAAAAAUUUCUCUCUCUUAUGUUACUAGUCAAAGCAAAACCCUAGUAAGCAUGGCCGGACCCUAGCCUGACCCCACCAAGGUUAUCAACACCUAGUUACUCUGCAGCUACUACGGCCAAAUCCUCUCCCGUUACCCCGACGGCAAGCUCCGUUACCUCGGAAGAGCAAACCCGCAUCCUUGCCGUUCCCCGCUCUACCUCAUUUUUCUGACUGUCUUCCAAGCUGACUGAGUUGUGUGGGCCAUCCGUGAUGGCCGUCAGUCUAUGCUAUCAAUUGCCCACCGAGGAUCUCGACGCCCUCUCCGAGACGGCGCUCUGACGCGUUCCCAGUCCGCCCGCGUCAUUAUCCCUGGAGAGUCAAACAUGGCCGCCAAUUCAGUCCAAGUCGCCGCCGCCUAAAUGACCUUUGUCAACGACCUUGCCGCCAAUUUUGCCACCUGCUCUCACCUCGUCAAAUUGCUGCCGGAGCAAAAUUGAUUUUCUUUUCGAAAAGUUUUUCAUUUAUUGGUGCCAAAGAUGGUGACAGUCUGAAAAUAGCAGAACCUCUAGAGGGUCCAAUUUUGCAGAAGUACUGCUCCCUGGCAAGAGAAUCUGGGAUUUGGUUGUCACGUGGAGGGUUCUAAGAAAAGGGAUCGGAUAAUAAACAUUUGUGUAACACCCAUGUUGUUGUUGAUGAUGUUGGAAACAUCAGAAGUACUCACAGAAAGAUUCACUUUUUUGAUGUGGAUAUUCUUGGUGGAAAGGUGUACAAGGAAGGCAGCUUUACCGAACCUGCUCGACGAAGAAGAAAGGUUAUUGAGUUCAUACGUCGGGUCGGGGUAGGAGUGGGAUCCAGUUUCUGAUGAGGAUGAAAACCGAUUCAACCGAGUCGACGAAGAGGAAAGGGUUGAUGCUGAAGCGACAGAGCCUUUUCUAGGAGGGCCAACAGAUACAUCAUUGCUAAAGAGCUUUAAGAGUCACGUUGCUGCAACAGUUUGGAAUAAUGAGAAAUUAUUGAGCAUUUUACAGUGGUGCAGUCAUGUGAGAUGGAUCGGCUAGCAUGUCGAGAAAGCAAAAGCAAAACAGAAAAGAAAAGAGAAAAGAAGAAAGCAAAAGCAAAGCAGAAAACAAAAGCAAAAGCAAAAGCAACGCACCAACGAUAUGUAACUGUCGAAGCUUUUGUGUCGAAUCCUUUGUUUUGAAUGAUGUAAUUUAUUUUUCUUAUCUUUCGCAAACAUCUGUAUAACCCCAUCAGAAGGUAAAAAAAAAGGGCAAAGCCCAAAAUAAAUGGGCUGGAAUGUUGUGUGGAGGGUGAAGGCCCAUAAGCCGCUAUUAUCACCAAUCAAGUGACCAAAAGUACGUCCAGUACUACAAAAAUUAUUCGGCAUCCCGCCGCUAUUAUCGCUAACCAGGUGAUCAAAAGUACGCCCAAUACUACAAAAAAUUAUUCGACACCCCGCUGCUAUUAUCGACAACUAGGUGAUCAAAAGUACGCCCAGUACUCCAAAAUUAUUCGGUAACCUACCGCUAUUAUCACCCACUAGGUGAUCAAAAGUACGCCCAGUACUUCAAAAUUAUACAUGAGCACUACUCAUGUCAAUCAUACAUAAACAUUCAUGAGCAUCACUCAUAUCAAUCAUACAUAAACAUUCAUGAGCAUCACUCAUGUCAACAUUCAUGAUCAUCACUCAUGUCAACAUCUAUGAGCAUUACUCAUGUCAAUCAACAUAAACAUUCAUGAGCAUCACUCAUGUCAAUCAGUUUCAAAAGCUUUAUUUAUAGAGCUCCAGCUUUAAAAUCUUCAUUUACAAAGCUCCAGCUUCAAAAGCUUCACUUGCAAAGCUUUACCUACAAAGCUUCAGUACAGGGUAUAUAAAUACCGCCUCCGAACAACCGCCACUUCGGCCCAUACAUGGAUUCAAUUUGAAGUCUCCAGCCAACAUACACUAUUGACCGAAGACUUGGGGGACUACAUUAUGUACCAUAUAUUGGGCCUUAAUUGGGCCUCAUGAAAAAUACUUGGGGGACUCUAGCCCAUUAUUUAUGUAUUGAGGAGCGAGCCCUUAUUUUAUAAAAGGGACUCCCUCACCAUCAUUAGAGAGCAUCAACUCUAGCCCAUUAUUCAUGUAUUGAGGAGCGAGCCUUUAUUCUAUAAAAAUGACCCCCUCACCAUCAUUAGAGAGCAUUGCCGCUAACUGAGCAACCGCCUCACGGCGAACAUCACUCCUAACCCAUCACUUAUGUAUUGAUGAGCGAGCCCUUAUUCUAUAAAAGGGACUCUCUCACCUUUAACGCCACAAGCCGAGCCAACCAAGGCAACAUAAGCCAUAAGCAGAGCAGCCUCGCAACAUAUGCUACUUCUAGUUGAGCAUCAUUUCAGAUUGGGCACCGCCUCAUAUCAAGUAUCAGUUUUAGACGACAUCUAGUUACUUCAGCCUACACAUGGAUUGAAUUUCAAGUCUCCAGCCAAAAGACUCUCUUGAUUGAAGACUUGGGGGACUACUGUUUAUACCAUACUUAUGGCCUCAGUAUUUAGACCUCGUAUAAAUACUCGGGGGACUUAAAUGUAAUUAUGUAAUAAAGGAAGGGGCAAAUAUGUAAUAAGUGAGGGACCCUUAUUCUAUAAAAGGACCCUUCACCCUCACAAUUAGAGAGGCCAUUUUCUUAAGCCAUGGGAAGAGCUCUCUCACCCUCAUAAGCUCUCUCCCUCACUCCCCUCACCUUUUAGAGAAAUACAAUAAUCAGUGUGGACAUAGCCCAAACCUUAAGGUGAACCACAAUACAUCUUGUGUUAUUUAAAUUACUUGGCGUUUAAUACAAACCAAUAAGGUUUUGCCGAGGGUGAGAAGGAACAAGUUCCCAAGUGCCAUUUCGGAUCAAUGCAUUAAAUUCAUCGGACAUGGCAACACGCCAAUGAGGGUCACGUACAGCUUGAGAAACACACAUUGGUUCCAAUUAGGGGAUAAGAAGGUGUUUGGUGGCAGCAUAUAGGAGUUUGGGUUUGAAAAUGAGGUUUUUGGAACGGGUAGUCAUGGGGUGAUUAUUGUGAGGGUUAGGUGGAGGAAAAGGUAGGUGAUUUGGUGAGGGAGUGGGUAAGGGGGCAUGGCAGGUUAAGGGAAAGAAGAUGGAGAAUGUUGAUUUGAGGAAGAUGGCUCUAGGAAUGAGGAUCGGGCAUGCAGAUGGCGAGACUCCUCUGAGGCAGAUGAUGACGUAGAAUGAGAAAUGGCCUGAGUAAAAGAUGAGAUGGCAUCAUGGUGGGGUGGCGUUGUGGAAUGGACGAAAAGAACCGGGGUGGCUGAGGGAAGAAGAGAAGACAAAGUGGCAAUACUCUUUGACGACACACGAGGAUAUGUUGGAUCAUGAGAGGAAAAAGGAAAGGUGAACUCAUCGAAUUGGACAUAACGGGAUAUAAACAGACAAUUAGUAAACAAAUCGAGGCACCGAUAGGCACUUUAAGAUAGAGUAGCCGAGAAAGAGACAAGGGCGUGAACGGGGUUCUAGUUCAUUAGAGUUGUAGGGUCUUAACCAUGGAAAACAUAGGCAUCCAAACACACAAAGUUUGUGAUAAUGCAGAGUUUGUCCAAAAAGAGCAGUGUAAGGAGAGACGUUAGUGAGUGUUUGUGUAGGCAUACGAUUGAUAAAAUAAACAGAGGUUCAGAAGACAUAUGAUCAAUAGGAGAGGUAUAGAGGCAUGAUGGAGGAGUGUGAGACCAGUUUCAACAACAUGGCCAUGUCGACGUUCAACCAUGCCAUUGUGUUCAAGAGUAUGGGGUGGGGUAGUAAGGUGAGUAAUAACAUUUGUGGCAAGAAAGUUUUUGAGUUUAACAAAUUCACCACCCCUAUCAAAAUAUAAAGAUACAAAUUUUGUUUUGAAGUAAUUUUCAACAAGGGAUUUAGUGAAAACAGAAAAAAAUAUUGAAUAAUCGUCAUAAGCUAGCCACCAAAAAUGAAGUUAGUAUAAUGUUUUGAGUCUGGUUGAAUAACUUUCAAUCAUAUUUUUACAAGGAAUAGUACAAGAGGAUAUACUAGUUUAGGAGUGACUUUACACGGAAAGUAAUAAAUAUAAACAGGUAAUUAGCAGCAGCUAUAUAUACAAAUUAACAAUUAGAGAUUAUGUAAAAGUCAACGAUUGAUUUGCCUAGCUGGGAUGCUUAAUAUCUGGAGGAGAUGGUGGCGUCAUGGCUGGUGUGGGAGUGAUGGAUGAAGAUGAUGAGACUUCCCUUUUAUGCCUCCGCAAGACGGUAGAGUCGUCGGUUACACCGAUCUUAGACCGAAGAAAUUGAAAUCGAAGACGAAACAAUGGUUUAGUCAAGGCAUCUGCAAGUUGAUCAGUGGUGGAGACGUAGGAUACUUGAAGAAGGCCACGAGUGACAUGAUUACGAACAAACUGAAAGUUGAUAUCAAUGUGUUUCAUUCGAGAGUGGAGUACUGGAUUGGCACAAUAGAAGGUUGCGCCAAUGUUGUCAUAGGAGAUUGUAGGCUUGGUGGAAGAAGAAACACCAAGUUUGUGGAGCAAUGAUUGAAUCCAUGUGAGUUCAACGACGGUGCAAGUAAUGGCGUGGUACUCCGCUUCAGUGGAAGAGUGAGCAACAAAACGUUGUUUUCGGGAACCCUAAGAUAUUAGAUUUCCGCCAAGGUAGAUAACAUAUGUUAUGGUAAAGGUGCAGUCAUCACGAUUGCUAGCCCAAUCUGCAUCGGAAAAGGCAUAUAAAAUAUAAGAGAAUGAUCAUCGAAGAAAGAGGCCAUGAUAGAUGGUACCUUUCAAAUAGCGAAGUAGACGUUUGAGAGAUUACCAAUGAAGAGAUGACGACUGGUGCAUAAAUUAUGAGAGCUUGUUAACCGUAAAUGAGAUGUCGGGAUGAGUAAGACUAAGGUUUUGCCGAGGGUGAGAAGGAACAAGUUCCCAAGUGCCAUUUCGGAUCAAUGCAUUAAAUUCAUCAGAUAUGGUAUCAUGCCAAUGAGGGUCACGUACAGCUUGAGAAAAACACAUUGGUUCUAAUGAGGGGAUAAGAAGGUGUUUGGUGACAGCAUAUUGGAAUUUGGGUUUGAAAAUAAGGUUUUUGGAACAAGUGGUCAUGGGUUGAUUAUUGUGAGGGUUAGGUGGAUGAGAAGGUAGGUGAUUUGGUGAGGGAGUGGGCAAGGGGUGCGGGGCAGGCUGUGGGAAAAGGAGAUGGAGAAUGUGGAUUUGAGGAAGAUGGAUCUGGGAAUGGGGAUGGGGCGUGCAGAUGGCAAGACUCAUCUGAAGCAGAUGAUGACAUAGAAUGAGAAAUGGCCUGAGUAUGAGAUGAGAUGGCAUAAUGGUGGGGUGGCGUUGUGGCAUGGACGAAAGGAAUCGAAGUGACUGAGGGAAGAAGGAAGACCAAGUGGCAAUACUCUUUGACGACACACGAGGAGAUGUUGGAUCAUGGGAGGAAAAAGGAAAGGUGAACUCAUCGAAUUGGACAUGACGGGAUAUAAACAGACGAUUAGUAGACAAAUCAAGGCACCGAUAGGCACUUUAAGAUGGAGUAGCCGAGAAAGAGACAAUGGCGUGAAUGGCGUUCUAGUUUAUUAGAGUUGUAGGGUCUUAACCAUGGAAAACAUUGGCAUCCAAAUACACCAAGUUUGUGAUAAUGCGGAGUUUGUCUAAAGAAAGUGGUGUACGGAGAGACGUUGGUGGGUGUUUGUGUAGGCAUACGAUUAAUAAGAUAAACAGCGGUUUGGAAGACAUAUGAUCAAUAGAAGAGAGGCAUGGAGGCAUGAUGGAAGAGUGUGAGAUCAGUUUCAACAACAUGGCGAUGUCGACGUUCAGCCAUGCCAUUGUGUUCGGGAGUAUGGGGUGAGGUAGUAAGGUGAGUAAUGCCAUUUGUGGCAAGGAAGUUUUUGAGUUUAACAAAUUCACCACCCCCAUCAGAAUAUAAAGAUACAAUUUUUGUUUGGAAGUAAUUUUCAACAAAGGCUUUGAAUUUAGUGAAAACAGGAAAGACAUCAGACUUAAGUUUAACUGGAUAGAGCCAAAUAUAUUUGGAAAAAUGAUCAACAAAAAUAACAUAAUAACGAAACCCAUCAAUAGAAGAAUAGGGAGCAGGACCCCAAACGUCACUAUAAAUAAGAUCUAGAUGACCCUGACUAGUGAGAGAAGAGACACCAAAUGGAAGCUUAUGGCUUUUAUUACAUUGACAAGAAACACAAGUGGACUCGACAUGGGACUUGGAGGACACAGGUAAGGAAUUAUAGGUGAUGAGGUGUUGAAAAGUGCGAUGAUUGGGAUGACCGAGACGACGAUGCCAUAAAGGUUUAGAAGCCACCACACCCACCAUAGCACGAGGUUGAACUGUUGAAUGGAAGGAGGAGUGUGGCCAUAUAUAUUCAUCAUCCUUAUUCGGGCCUCGAAGAAGGCUCGCCCUCGUGCUUAGAUCCUUCACAAUGAAAAAAUCAGGAAACAAUUCAAUAGAGGUGUUGUUUUGUUUAUUGAAUUUGGAAAUAGAAAUUAAAUCCUUCCGAAUCGAAGGAAUGCACAAAACAUAAGAUAAGGAAAAAUUGGAGGGCGAGGGGGAGGGAAGGGGGUAGAACCAGCAUGGGUAACAUGCAAACAUGUACCAUUACCAAUUAUGAUUUCAUCAGGUCUUUCGUAGCGUGAAUGAGAAAACAGGUUAUUGACGUCCAAUGUAACAUAAUGUAAAGCCCCUGAGUCAAGAAUCCAAUUAGGGGCACGAGUGUAGUUGGCAACCAGUUUGUGUUGUGGAGUCAAUUGAGGGCAAAAUUUGGUGCUAUGAUCCUGUUGGGCACACCACUGACAUACCUUGUGCCAGGAGGAUUAGGGCGACGAUAGGUGGAACCAUUUGAAGAACCCUAACUUGAGGAACUAAAACCAGAAAUAUCUCGAAAGUUAUUAUUGUUGCUUGGACCAAAGGAUGAUCGGGGCUGAUAAUUGUUGUUGUUGCAAGAGCCACGAUGGAAAGAACGAGAAGUGGCAGAGUGUUGCGCAGUAUUGGCAGUGAUGGGACUGGAGGAGACAAUAUGGUCUUCGUGUUUAAGUGCAAUUUCAUUCUCAAUAAGUUUAUCAUGGAGGUUCUCAAAGGAAAUAGGGUUGUCAUGGGCACGAACAACAGUUGCAAGUUCUUUGAACUCAAGUCCAACACCGUUUAAGAUGUGUAUGAUGAGGUCAUCAUCACUGAUGGGAGCAUCAAUAAGAGCAAGUUCAUCGACAUUGGCUUUGACAACUUGGAGAUAUUCAGAAAUGGGCUUGGAGUCACAACGCAUGAGAGUAAUGCGUUCUUUGAGACCCAUGACACGAGAUCGAGCUCAAUUGGCAUAGAGUUGUUUGAGUUUGUCCCAGGCAGCCUUGGAGGUUGGGGCAGAGGCAAUAAGAGAGACAACUUGUUCAGAAACGGAUGAGAGGAUGGCAUGGAGCAGCAGCUGAUCUUGGCGUAGCUAAAGAUUAUACGCCGAUGUCGACGACACUGUGUUCGAUUUUUCUGGGCAGGGAUAUAUGCCAUCAACAUAUCUCAGAAGAUCAUACCCUAUGAGGAGGGCAAUAAAUUGAGCACGCCAAGAGGGAUAGUUCAUGGGCGUGAGUUUGACAGGCAGUUGGGUAGCGGGGUUGAUCGUAAUCAAUGAUUUGGAGUUGUCAACUGAAAGCAAAGAGUUGGAAGGGUGGGCAACGGAACCGGAGUUGGUUGAUUGCUCGUCUAACAUUAUGAGUGCACAGGGGGAAAAAAUUUGAGAAAUUGCUCGUUAAAGCUUCUGGCUCGUUGAUACCAUAUAAUGUUUUGAGUCUAGAUGAAUAGCUUUCAAUCAUAUUUUUACAAGGAAUAGUACAAGAUGAUAUACUAGUCUAGGAGUGACUUUACACGGAAAGUAAUAAACAUAAACAGGAAAUUAGCAGCAGCUAUAUAUACAAAUUAACUAUAUAAAAAGCACAAUAUGAAUAACGUAAGAAAAAUUCGUGACUGGAUAAGUAUUUUGCUACAAUAAGUGAGCAUUAAUUCUUUAGUAUCGUACUAACUAUUAAUGAGAGUUUAAUCUAAAACCACUUACUUAUAAGUGAAGAAAAAUACAUAUAGUGCUAGUUACAUUAUCAUGAUAAUCAUAAACUAAAGAGAAAUGAUGAAGCUUUAGAGAUUUUAUGGGACACUUAGUAUUACAAAACUAUAUCAUAAACGGUGAACUAGUUGAAAACGUCAUAGCUUAAACUGCUACCUUGGCAACACACCAUAUAGUAGACCUUAUUUUAUAAUAAAAUUAUUAUUCUUUCAGCACCUUCACGCAAUAAAAUGGGGGAUGUAAAUGUCUUGUAAACCAACAUGCUAAUGCUACGGUGGGAGCUGCAGAAGUCAGAAGGGGCCUGUGCCUUUCAUGGUCCUCAAGUGGCUCCGCCACUGCUAGCCAUCCAGAAUUUUAUGGUCGAUUCUCCGAUCCAUCAUCCUAAUUAUCUAAAUGAUCUCCUCAGAGAUAAAUAACCAGCCUAAACUCACAACGAGAGGCAAUAACUAGUGAGAGCAGCCAUGCACAAACCAAACCACUUUGACUAAUCAAGCAAUGCUGAAAAGUACGUAAAAAAACAAGGGGAGUUUUAACGAAAAGCCCACGGUACUGUUCACUUUAAGGAAAAACCAUAUUUUUACACUAAAAAGUCAAACCUAGUACUAUUCACUUUACCCUUUAUUUUGUCCUUAUCAUUAAAACUCAAAGUUUUCAAGUCCAUUUCAUUAGUUUUCCUAAAAACAAAACCAUAUCUUCCCAUGGUCAUAUUAAAGGCUGACAUAUCAUCCGCAUUGGAGCCUUGGAGGGAAUAGAUUAUGCGAAUGUUCCGCGUAUAUGGAAAACAUGUGAAUUUACGCGAAUAAAUCGAAGAAAGUUAAACAAAUUCCAACGAAAGUAAGAAAAUCGCACAAAAAUUGAAUGGAGAAGAAAACUAAGAGAGGAAAAUCGAAUUCAAAUGCUAUAUAUUUCUUCAACAAAACAAAAUACAUUAAAAAAAAACUCAACCGUUAGGCUUCUAGUGGUACUCAUGCUACCUUUCAAUCGAAUUUCAGUUUACACAUGCGUAUUGUUUGAUGUAAAACUAAUAAUAUCUUCUUCUUUUUCCUUUGUUUUUUUUUAAUUUUAUUUUUUUAUAGUUUUAUGUAUGAUUUGUCACAGUUUUUUGUAUAAAGAAUUGUCAUGUAUCAUUCGUCAACUUGAAAUGUUUUGUUUGGUCUUUUGGCAACAACCAAAAAAUAGGAUAAACGACAUUUAAAAGAUGUGUAUAAAUAGAUUUAUUAUUUUUAUUUUCUUUAUUUAUUUUCAAUUUUCAUAAAGGUGGCAUAAGUCUUAACUGCAAGGAAGAACUCCACAGAAAUCAAUAAAUAUGCAAACUAAAGAAGCUUAAAGAAGAAGAAAACUGAAGAAUCUCUCAAUUGUUGAAAUUACUGCUGGGUAGUGAAUGCCCACAGUACCUUGGAAGACUUUCCAAUUCUCACACAGAAUGGGUUUUCAACUUUGGCAUAAGUUUUUAAUACCCUUGAAAAUGGAAAUUGACUUUGGAUGCAAGAGAUCAUUUUUCUACAUAGGGUGUUGUAAAUGUCAAAUUGUAAUAAUAAGAGUUGCUCUAUAAAUAGAGCACUCGAAUGCAAUCAAAAGAUACGGAAAGACAUACGGAAGAAUAGAAAGAAAGAAAUCUCUUCUCCAUCUUUUAUUUGUCAUACACUUGAGCUAUAGUUUUAGUGUGAUAUUUUACAUCUGCUUCGCACCUAUCAAAUGCCUGUGGCUUCUGAGGUUCCAUCUGUGAAUCCUGUGGUUCCAAUUCCGAAUUCUGAAAGUUUUGAGUUUCAACCUGAGAGACUUCAAGUUGUUCUCUCUAUUCCUUCAUUGAAUUUGCAUCCAAUGCAAACCAGGUCCAAGAGUGGUAUUUCCAAAAAGAUGGCCUUACUUACUACAACUCAUGACAAUGGGGCAGUGGAUUUGUCUACAGUCGAACCUGCAACAUAUAAAUCUGCCUUAAAGUGUCAGGUAUGGGUUGAUGCAAUGCAAGAAGAGUUAUCUGCCUUACACACUCAGUCUACAUGGAGUUUAGUUCCUCUUCCAGCACAGAAAAACCUGGUUGGGUGUAAAUGGGUUUUUAAAAUUAAAAGGAAUGUUGAUGGUUCUAUAGGGAGAUAUAAGGCUCGACUAGUGGCAAAAGGUUUCAAUCAAGAGGAAGGCAUUGAUUAUGGGGAAACAUUUAGUCCAGUUGUUAAACCAACAACUGUGAGACUUGUAUUGGCCAUGGCUGCUCAUUUUGGGUGGAAUUUGAGACAACUUGAUGUUAAGAAUGUGUUUUUGCAUGGGGUAUUGCAGGAAGAGGUGUAUAUGUCACAACCUCCAGGUUUCGUUGAUCCUCAUUACUCUGAUUAUGUCUGCAAACUUCACAAGUCCUUAUAUGGCUUAAAACAGGCUCCUAGAGCCUGGAAUGACAAGUUCACGAGUUUUUUGCCCUCACUUGGAUUCACUACAACUUAUGCCGAUCCCUCUUUGUUUGUGAAAAAGAUUGAUUCUUUUGUAGUGAUAUUACUUCUCUAUGUGGAUGACAUUAUCAUUACUGGUAAUGCUCCCAAUUUGAUCUCUGAUGUGAUUUCUGCUUUGACAAAGGAAUUUGACAUAAAAGACUUGGGUCCUUUGCAUUUUUUCCUGGGAAUUCAGAUUAUUUCUCAGAAUGAUGGUAUGGUUCUUUCUCAAUCUAAGUAUGUUACGGAUCUUCUUACCAAGACUGAAAUGUUCGAUUCCAAGCCUUGUUCCACACCAUGUCUGCCUUAUAAUCGGUUAGUUCUUGAUGAUGGCAAACCUUACAACAAUCCUGCUCUCUACAGAAGUGUGGUUGGUGCUUUACAAUACCUCACAUUUACCAGGCCAGAUAUCGCGUUUGCUGUGCAUCAGGUAUGCCAAUUUAUGCAGCAUCGCAUGGAGUCUCACUUCAGUGCAGUCAAGCGGAUCCUAAGAUAUCUUAAAGGCACUCUGAAUUUGGGCAUUCACUAUGUUAAAGGGGGUUUGGAGGUUAAUUCUGAUACUAUACGAGCAUUUUCUGAUGCGGAUUGGGCUGGAGAUCCGAAUGACAGACGGUCUACAACUGGAUUUGUGGUCUUUUUGGGGUUAAAUCCAAUUUCACGGUCUUCUAAGAAGCAACAAACAAUGUCUCGAUCGUCCACUGAGGCAGAGUAUCGCGCUCUUGCUACAACUGCUGCUGAAUUGGAUUAGAUCAAGUAAUUAUUGACAGUUUUGCAUCUUGAUAUUCCCACUUCACCAGUUCUCUUUUGUGAUAAUAUGUCUGCUAUUGCUUUAACAUCAAAUCCGGUUUUACAUCAGCGUACAAAACACAUCGAAGUUGAUAUUCAUUUUGUUCGAGAACGAGUUGCAAAGAAGCACCUGCAGGUUCAGUUUGUCACUUCCAGUGAGCAGUUUGCUGAUAUUUUCACCAAGGGUUUAUCUACUCCACUCUUUCAAACUCAUUGUCGCAAUCUCAGUCUUGGUUUCACCUCCUGAGCUUGGGGGGGGGGGGGAUGUUAAGGAUAGUAUUAAUGGUGAUAUAAUAAGACACUUGUCAAGAGAUUAGCAAGGUUGUUAGAAGUUAGUUAUGUUGUGACUUAAACAGCAAGUUUUAUAUAGAGAAUAUAUAGUCUUAGAACAGUAAGAUUGUAAUGAUUCAGAAAACACAAUAUAUGAAAGUUUACUUCUCUCUCUAUCUUUUUUUCCCUCUCGACUCAUUUCUCUUCUCUCUCUCAAGUGUAAUACUGCAUAUUCUUCCUUGUGAUUACAGCUUGGUUUACAUCAAAAAGGUUAUCCCUCUAACUUUGAUAUAUUUAUAACACAUUAUCAGCACGAGUCUCUAAAUAUAACCAUGUCUCAUUUACAUUCACCAAAUAAAUCAUUCUCUCGUUUCUCUCCGCCGAAUGAAACAAAAAUGUUUCCCCUAAAGUUUUUCAUGUUCAUCUUCUUCCUCUGCCUCAACUGCGCGGUAUACCCUCGCAAUGAAUUGUUUGCUCCAUGCCUACUCGUAGUUCUCCAACUAGCGGUUACAUACAUCUUUGAUUACUUGUUUGGUUUAGAUAUUGAUUACUAACCCAGUAUUUAUUUAUGUUGAUUUUACUGCAAUCCAAGAUGGUGUGGUACAAUCACCCAUCUUGAACUGCAAAUUGCAUCUUACUGCGAUCCAAGAUGGUGCGGUAUCAUCGCCUAUCUUGGACUGCAGAUCUACUUUUACUGCAAAUUUCAGGUGGAGCGGUAUAAUUGCCUACCUUGCUCUGCAAAUUUAAAUUUACCUGCUGUUUAAUUUCAUUGCAAUUUUAGGUGGUGCGGUAUAAUCACCCACCCUGCUCUGCGUAUUUCAAUUUUCUUGCUACUUGAGUGGUGCGGAAUAAUCGCCCAUUCUAUGUUACAUUAUUUCAAUGAGAAUGGUGUGGUACAAUCACCUUUCUCAUUCACACUGAAAAUCUCGAGCCAGAAGUUUCGAGUGCUUAUCAUUUUGGCCUGAAGAUCAAAAUGAAAAAUUUGUAAGAACCAGAAGUUCUAACAUUACAUUCCUCUAGGAAUACAUAUUGUUGCAAGUUCUUACACAACUCAUUUUUCUUUCAGAAAAGAAAAUGGCGAACUUGGCAAAACUUGAAUAUGCUGCCCUGGACAUUACCGGGAAGAAUUACCUUACCUGGGUACUGGAUACCAAGAUUCAUCUGGAAGCAGGGAAUCUUGGAGAUACUAUCAGAGAAGAAAGCAGCUUAUCUUCUCAAGAUCGGGCGAAGGCCAUGAUCUUCGCCUCCAUCUUGAUGAGGCACUAAAGAGUGAGUACCUAACGGUUGAAGAUCCGUUAGCUCUCUGGGAGGCCUUGAGAAGCAGAUACAAUCACCAGACAACAGUGAUUCUUCCAAGAGCUCGCUAUGAGUGGUCUCACGUGAGAAUCCAGGAUUUCAAAUCAGUGGCAGAGUACAAUUCUGCGUUAUUCAGGAUUACCUCUCAGAUGAAGUUAUGUGGGGAUACCAAUACUGAGGAAAUGUUGCUGGAAAAUACUUACAACACAUUUCAUGCCAAUAACGUGCUCAUGCAGCAGCAGUAUAGAGCGCGAGGCUACACUGAAUACAACCAGCUGAUAUCUAUGCUCCUGGUAGCUGAACAGAACCAUGAGCUCCUGAUGAAAAACCAUAAUUCCCGACUUACUGGAUCUGCACCAUUCCCAGAAGUGAAUGCUGCUUCCUUCGAAGUGAACGCCACAUCCUCUGGUGGCGAUAAUCAUAAACGAGGACGUGGCCACAAGCGAGGUUAAUGGAAUAGGAAAGGCAAGAACCAUGGUGUUUAGUUUCACAACUAGGUUCCGAGGCAUAAUUCUGGCCCGAGCCUCAAAAAUGUGAAUCGCCAUAAAGGCAAAGCUCAUAUGAGCAAUGCUCCCAGGAACUCUGAAGGAGCCUGCCAUAGAUGUGGUGGCAAUGGGCAUUGGGCGCGAACUUGUCCUACCUCAAAACAUCUGGUGGAGUUGUAUCAAGCCUUCCUCAAGGAGAAGAGUGUCGAGACCAAUUUUCUCGACCAGGCUAAACAAAUGGAUAUACCUGAUCCAGUGUUUGAUUUAUUAGGGCAAUUGGACACAACUCACCUAGAUGUUUCAGACGUCAUUAUGGAAAGGGGGAAUGAAGUAUACCGGUCCGACUAAAUCGUUUAUGUUUGAUGUAUUUUUAUUAUGCUGAACUUGUUGUCUAAAACAAGUUUUUCAGAUUCAAUAAAAGUGGCAUGUAAAUUUCCUGUUAUAAAUUGUUUGUUAACUGGGAUUCCAUUUACUUAGAAAGCAUGGAUAAAAAUUGUGGUUAUUCUCAGAACAUAAGAAAUGGCGGAGAUAUUUGGCUUGCAGACAGUGCAACCACACAUACAAUACUUCGUGAUCAAAAGUAUUUCUCAAGCUUAAUGCUUACAAGAGUACAAGAGUAUGGGUAACAACAAUAUCAAGACCUUCAGAUGUAAUUGAAGGCUCAGGGAAAGCCCAGAUUAUGUUACCAAAUGGAACAAUAUUGUCCAUACAAAAUGCAUUGUAUGCUACUCGAUCUACUCGAAAUUUGUUGAGUUUCAAAGACAUACGUCUAAAUGGAUACCACAUUGAAACGAAAAGUGCAGAAAAUGUGGAGUAUCUAUGCAUUAUCUCUAAUGAUACCCAGAAGCGUAUAUUGGAGAAGUUGCGUGGUUUUUCGAGUGGAUUAUAUUAUACAUACAUAAGGACAAUUGAAUCACAUACUGUCAUGAACCAGAAGUUAAUUCAUUCAAAGGUUUACAUGCUUUGGCAUGACCGUCUGGGUCAUCCAGGAUCCACCAUGAUGCGUAGGAUCAUUACCAACUCUAAUGGACAUCCAUUAUUGAGCAGAGACAUUGCUAUCUCAAAUGAUAACCCUUGCAAGGCUUGUUCUCAAAGGAAGUUGGUAAUUAGACCAUCACAACUAAAGGUUGAUGCUGAAUCCCCAUCAUUUCUGCAAAGAAUUCAAGGGGAUAUUUGUGGACCUAUUAAACCAUCUUGUGGACCAUUUCGAUAUUUUAUGGUUUUUGUUGAUGCAUCCACCAAAUGGUCACAUGUUUGUCUCUUAUCUACUCGGAAUGUAGCUUUUGCGAGACUUCUUGCUCAGAUAACUAAGUUACGAGCACAGUUCCCAGAUUAUCCCAUUAAGUCAAUCUGACUUGAUAACGCUGGUGAAUUUACGUCUUAAACUUUUGAUGAUUACUGCAUGACAUUGGGCUUUGAUGUUGAACAUCAUGUUCCUCAUAUCCAUACUUAAAAUGGUUUAGCAUAAGCAUUGAUCAAGCGGCUUCAGUUAAUAGCCCGCACUCUGCUUAUGAAAACCAAAUUGCCAGUUCUGCAUGGGGACAUGCCAUCCUACAUGCUGCAUCAUUAGUUCGAUUGAGACCUAUAGCCAACCACCAAUACUCUUCAAUACAACUUGUGUUUCGACAUUAGCCAAACAUUUCACAUUUACAAGUUUUUAGUUGUGCUGUUUAUGUGCCUAUUGCACCCCCGCAACGCACUAAAAUGGAACCUCAGCGUAGACUGAGAAUUUAUGUGGGGUUUGAUUCACCAUCUAUCAUUAGAUAUUUGGAACCCUUGACAUGUGAUAUGUUUACAGCUCGUUUUGCUGAUUGUCAUUUUGAUGAGACAGUCUUCCCGUCGUUAGGAGGAGAAAAGACCGUUCCAGAAGAACGAAAAGAGCUGACAUGGGUUGUUCCCACCUUGUCUCAUUUUGAUCCUCGAAGCAUUCAAUGUGAAAAUGAAGUAAAAAGGAUCGUUCAUCUUCAAAGCAUUGCCAAUCAAAUGCCCAUGCAUUUAAUGAUGCUAUGAAAGUGACAAAAUCACAUAUACCAGCUGCAAAUGCACCUGCAAGAAUUGAUGUCCCUGUUGGACAAAAUAAAGUGGCAGCGAAUGAUUCAUCUGGUGCACGCCUGAAGUGUGGUAAACCACCAGGUUCAAAAUAUUCAGCCCCUCGAAAGAGAAAGACAAGGGCACAAUUGAAUCCAAAUGAAAUCAUUCAGGAGAGAGAAUGAAUGACAAAUCCACAAUUCAUGAUUCUGGACUUCCAGAAGAAAAGAAUGUCCUUGAUGAGACAUAUGUCCCUGAAGAAACAGAAGUACAUGAAAGCAAAGAAAUCUCCAUAAAUUAUACAUGUACUAAUGAAUUGUGGGAUCAGAAUGAAAUAAUCAUUGACGAUAUGUUUGCAUUCGCAGUAGCCACUAAAAUCAUAUUAAGUGAUGAUCUUGAGCCCCGCUCUGUUGAUGAAUGCAAAGAGAGACAAGAUUGGCCUAAGUGGAAAGAUGCAAUCCAGGUAGAAUUAAAUUCCUUGGAAAGCCAAAGCCCGCCUGAUGUAAACCCCGUAGGUUACAAAUGGGUAUUCACAAGGAAAUGCAAUGAGAAAAACGAGAUUGCAAGAUAUAAAGGACGACUCGUUGCACAAGGUUUUUCACAAAGACCUGGAAUUGAUUAUGAGGAGACAUACUCUCCUGUAAUGGACGCAAUUACGUUCCGUUACUUAAUAAGUUUAGUGGUUUUAGAAAAGCUUAACAUGCGACUUAUGGAUGUCAUCACUGCGUAUCUAUAUGGAGAAUUAGAUACUGAUAUAUAUAUAUAUAUAUAUAUAUAUAUAUAUGAAAGUUCCAGAAGGACUCAAGUCGCCUGAAACAGCUAACAAACCACGAGGUAUGCUCUCGAUCAAAUUAAGGCGAUCUUUGUAUGGGCUGAAACAAUCUGGACGAAUGUGGUAUAAUCGUCUCAGUGAGUAUUUGAUCAAAGAAGGGUAUAUCAACAAUGUCAUUUGCCCUUAUGUUUUCAUUAAGAAAUCCAACUAUGGAUUUGCUAUAGUGGCACUAGUUGGAACUUCUGAAGAGUUACAUAAAACUGCUGAAUAUCUGAAAAGCAAAUUUGAAAUGAAAGACCUUGGAAAAACAAAAUAUUGUCUCGGCCUGCAGAUCGAGCAUUGUGCUAGUGGAAUUUUGGUCCACCAAUAUGCUUACAUUGAAAAAAUCCUGAAGCGAUUUGGUAUGGACAAGGCUUAUCCACUCAGCAUGCCAAUGGUCGUUCGUUCUCUGGACAUUAAGAAAUAUCCAUUUUGUCCAAAAGAAGAGGAUGAAAUGGUCCUUGGUCCAGAAGUACCAUAUCUGAGUGCAGUAGGUGCUUUGUUGUAUUUAGCACAAUGUACUAGACCAGAUAUAGCUUUUUCAGUCAAUUUGUUAGCCAAGUAUAACUCUGUUCCAACAAUCCGUCACUGGAAAGGUGUCAAAGAUGUAUUGCAAUACCUUUGUGGGACAACAGAUAUGGAUCUCUUCUACUCAAAGAACUCCACAAAUGACCAGGUCCUUGUUGGAUAUGCAGAUGCUGGUUUCCUCUCUGGUCCGCAUAAAGCCGUUCACAAACUGGAUAUGUGUUCAAGAAUGGAGAUAUAACAAUCUCAUGACGCUCAACAAAGCAAACCUUAGUUGCUACAUCUUCAAAUCAUUCAGAAAUACUUGCUUUACAUGAAGCAAGUCGUGAAUGUUCUUGGUUAAGAUCAAUGAUCCAUCAUAUUCGGAAUUCAUGUGGUCUAACUUCGAAGACAGAUAAUCCAACUGUCAUUCAUGAAGAUAAUGCAGCCUGUGUUGCCCAAAUGAAGGAAGGAUUCAUUUAGGGCGAUAAAACUAAACACAUAUCUCCAAAGUUUUUCAGCACACAUGAGCUUUAAAAGACUAAAGUUAUUGAAGUCAGAUAAAUCCGUUCUAAUGAAAAUCUGGCAGACUUGUUCACCAAGUCUCUACCAAAAUGCACGUUUUAGAAGUUAGUGCAAAGUAUCGGAUUACGUCGACUUACCAAACAGCUAAAUUUGGAGAAUGCGGAAUCAGGGGGAGAUACAUCUCAGGGGGAGCAUCCAUGAUACAUGCUUGUUGUACUCUUUUUCCUUCGAUUAGGAUUUUUCCCACUGGGUUUUUCUUAUCAAGGUUUUAACGAGGCAACAUAAGCAUACUUAACACUAUAUCAACAAUCCAGGUAAAGUUGUACUCUUUUUCCUUCGCUAUGGUUUUUUCCCACUAGGUUUUUCCAAGCAAGGUUUUAAUGAGGCAACUGAUGUUGACAUGUGGGCAUCCAAGGGGGAGUGUUGAAAUUACUGCUGGGUAGUGAAUGCCCACAGUACCUUGGAAGACUUUCCAAUUCUCACACAGAAUGGGGUUUCAACUUUGGCAUAAGUUUUCAAUACCCAUGAAAAUGGAAAUUGACUUUGGAUGCAGGAGAUCGUUUUUCUACAUUGGGUGUUGUAAAUGUCAAAUUGUAAUAAUACGAGUUGCUCUAUAAAUAGAGCACUCGAAUGCAAUCAAAAGAUACGGAAAGACAUACGGAAGAAUAGAAAGAAAGAAAUCUCUUCUCCAUCUUUUAUUUGUCAUACACUUGAGUUAUAGUUUUAGUGUGAUAUUUUACAUCUACUUCGCACCUAUCAAAAAGGUUAUCCCUCUAACUCUGAUAUAUUUAUAACAUCAAUAUAUUUCUUUAACUAUUUUGUUAUACAACCGACUUAACCAAAGUACAAGAGCAAAUGAACUAUUUAUACUACUCUAUUGAGGCCUAUGAAAUACUCUAUAUGUGCACAUGUUCUGCACAUGUGUAAUGAUCAAGGUAUUAAAUAUCGGUAAUAUCGGAAAUAUCGGUAAUCCGAAAACACGGAAAUAUCGAUGGAAAUAUCGGGAUAAUAUCGAUAUCGAUAAAAAUUACAUAGAAACCAUGGAAAUUGUAAGAAAAACUUGGAAAUUUUUAUUGAAAUUUUGCACGAUGUUUAUUUAGUCAAUUAUCUAUUAGUUUAUCACAAAAAAUUGGAAGGAAAUGCAUUGCAUGAUGGAUUUAACUGAUUUAAGUUGAUUAUAUAGCGAGCUGGCAAACAUUGUGAGUGUAGAAAAUAUGUAGUAAUUAAUGAAAGAAGUUUAAACACACCAUAAUCAUUUAUAUAUAAUGAAAUAGUACAAUAUUUUACACUUUAUACGAAGGGAGGGGUUCGAAUCCCUCUAUGCGCAAGAUUGAGACUUUUCAGCAUUUUUCAAGUAUUUUUGUGUUUCAUCUCGCGAUAAUUAAGUGGAUAAGUGUGAAAAUAUCGUCCUCUCACAAAAACGAAUCGCCGAUAAUAUCGAUAUUUAUUAUUUCGACAAGGAUUUAUAAAAUAAAAUUAAAAAUAAAAUUUAACAAAAAAAAGGUGAUUUGCCAGCUGCUGCUUCCACAUCGUCCAAUUGGGGAACAAGGCCGGUACAAAUCCAACGGCCCACAUCUCCCCUCCUCCCAACACAAUUAAAUCUCCACUACUCCCAAAAAUAACACCCCCAUUUCCCCUCGAACCUCAAACCUCUCUCCUCUCUUUCCCCUUCACACAAUCCCUUUCAGAUCUCCAGAUCCAACCCCUCCAUCGACCUUCAAACCCUAACAACAAUGGAGGCAACCACCCCCUGCCCCCGCGAAGAGAACGUCUACAUGGCCAAGCUGGCUGAGCAAGCCGAGCGCUACGAGGAGAUGGUCGAGUUCGUCGAGAAGGUCUCCGCCUCCACCGAUAAAGAGGAGCUCACCGUCGAGGAGCGCAACCUCCUCUUCGUUGCCUAUAAGAAUGUCAUCGGUGCCUGCCGUGCCUCCUGGCGCAUCAUCUCCUCCAUUGAGCAGAAGGAAGAGAGUCGCGGCAACGACAACCACGUUGCCACGAUCUGACUACCGAUCCAAGAUCAAGACCGACAUCUCCAACAUCUGCGACAGCAUUCUCAAGCUCCUUGACUCCAGGCUCAUCCCAUCCGCCAUUGGCGACGAUUCCAAGGUCUUUUAUCUCAAGAUGAAGGGCGAUUACCACCGUUAUCUUGCCGAGUUCAAGACCGGCGCCGAGCACAAGGAGGCCGCCGAGUUCAUUUGCCGAUAAUAUCGAUAUUUUCGUCAAAAUAUCGCGAUAUUAUUGAUAUUAACGAUAAUAUCGCGAUAUUAUCCCGAAAACCAUUUGGAUAUUGAAAAAAAAUCGGUUCCCCUAAAAACCGAUAAUAUCGGCGAUAUCGCCGAUAUUAUCGGCAUUUCGGACCAUGACAAUGAUGACCUGGCAUAUUAUUAUUUACUUAUCCAAUAAUAAGCUCGAGCUUAUAAGGAACAAGUUGAACCAAGCCAUCCCAAGGCUAAAGUUUGUUAUACACACAAGUCGAACUCAAGCUUGAAAAAAAAUCAUUUGAGCUGAGCUUGAGCUAUAUACGGUUUUAUCGUGCUUGAGUACUAAAAUGGAAGUCAAACUUGGAGUAGCUCGGUAUUUAACUUUGACUUCGCUCAUUUACACCCCUAACUUCAGCAAAAAACUAAAAUAAAAAGGAUCUCACACGUUUCAAGAGAACAUGGAAUCCAAUCAAGUAACAAUAGCCAACAACCCAAGAUUUAAGGUUGUGGUCUAACAGAGGGUUUGAGUUGUUUGGGCUAUGUACAGUUUGUUAGUUUGUGAGAAUUUUAUGGGCUUUAAUUUAGCUCUUUUCAAUUGUUGUUUUUAGAGUCAUAUUACGUGUUGUAUAUGUAUUUGUGUCGAACUUUUUUUAGUUUUAAAGAAUAUCGUUAUUUCAUAAUACACACACACACACACACAAACAAGUCCCACUUUUUUGGUGUUUAGUUAAAGAUAGCUUCUGCAAAGGGGCAGCUGGGAAUGCUUAAAAUAGAAGCAGUACAACUUUUUGGUGAUGUACAAUCAGGAGGAUGAAAAGGAACUAAUGAGAAGUUGUACUAAAAGGUGAUAAGUUGUUUAAAAUGGUUAAUGUGAUAACUUAUUAAUAACUUUAGGUUGGCUAUAAUGAGUGAAAGUGUUCAUCGUUCUACCAAAUUGUAUGCAACUUUUAUUGAUGUUGACAAUUUGUCUCAAUAUUCCGAGGUAUAACAGGGUAGAUGCUCCUCCUGUGAUUUCGAGCUUCACCGUAGAAUUAAAGUUGUGUAAAGGACUUUUUCUUAUAUAGCUUUCUGCUUAGAAGCUGCUGGUUCAGCUUCAUAUAAAUUUGAUCCUCUGUUUCUUGUUUUUCUAUGUUAAUAUCCUGGUGCGUGUGCGUGUGUACAUAUAUGUUUAUUGAUUUUAAUGUAUAUUUCAUAAAAUGAAUCAGCUACAAGGUCCAACAUAUAUAUGAUAAGAAAACGGGAAGGAGAGUGGAGCUGGAAAGGUGGAGAAUAAUGGCAGCAAUGACAGCAUCAUUGUGACCUCCUGGCAGCUAAGCAAGCAUCAUUGUGUCCUCCACUCUCUCUAACUUAAACUACUAAUUAGCUUUACAAAGCUGGUGGAAUAACAACCAGCUAACACUAGCACUAAGUUGAGCUGUUAUCCAUAAAAAAACUUAAACAAAUGGUUGCAUUAUUCUUCCAACAUUGAACCCUACGAACCCUACUUGCAUUAUUCCUCCAACAUUGAACCCUACUUCCAAUACUCCCCCUCAAGCUGGAUCCAGAAGAUUGAUGGAUCCAAGCUUGGAGAGGAGCCAUUGAAACUGAUGAGAAGCCAUAGGUUUGGUGAAUAUAUCAGCCAGUUGAUCGGAGCUUUUUACAUAAUGCGUCUGGAUCACCUGCGACUGUACUUGUUCACGGACAUAGUGACAGUCGACUUCAAUAUGUUUCAUCCUUUCGUGAAAGACGGGGUUUGAUGCUAUGUGCAUGGCAGCCUGGUUGUCACACAAUAAGGUCAUUGGUUGAGCCGUGAACACACCUAAGUCACAUAAAAGUUCUUUUAGCCAUAUCAGCUCACACGCGGUUGAGGCCAUUGCACGAUAUUCAGCUUCGGCACUUGAUCUUGCGAUGACAGUUUGUUUUUUGCUCUUCCACAUGACCAAAUUUCCACCAACAAAGGUACAGUAACCAAUGGUGGACUUGCGAUCGAUGGCGUUUCCUACCCAAUCUACAUCGCAGUACCCCAUUAUUUGAGUGUUGUCAUUCUUUGCCAUGAGGAUGCCACGACCAACAGACCCUUUUAAGUAACGUACGAUCCUUUUUACAAGGUUUAGAUGCUCGAUGGUGGGGGAGUGCAUGAACUGACUGGCGAUACUUACUGAAUAUGAGAUGUCCAGUCUGGUGAUUGUUAGGUAGAUCAGCUUGCCGACAAGCUUCUGAUAGAAGUUGAUGUCCGAGAGUGGCGUGCCUCCCAAGUCAAGUUUGAGCUUGCUAUCGAGAGGGGUAAGUGCAGGCUUAGCCUCACUCAUAUUAGCUUCCUUGAGUAGAUCCAUGACGUAUUUCCGUUGAUUAAGAAAUAGUCCCUUGUGUGAAGAUGCCAUUUCGAUUCCAAGAAAAUACUUCAACACCCCGAGAUCUUUAACUGCAAAUCUUUGUUGAAGUGAUUGUUUGAGUGUGGAGAUUUCUGCAUCAUUAUCACCUGUGAUUAUUAAGUCAUCCACGUAUAUCAACACAACUAAUUUGCUCACAGCUCCCGUGCGAACAAAUAAUGAUGAAUCUACAUUACUCCUUUUGAAACCAACAUUAUGAAGAACGGAACUUAGUUUUGCAUACCAAGCACGAGGCGAUUGCUUCAAUCCAUAAAUCGACUUAUGCAAUUUACACACCAAAUCAGGUUCCUGGCUUUGAGGGUGUCCUGGUGGCAAUCUCAUAUAGACCUCUUCUUCAAGAUCACCAUGUAGAAAGGCGUUCUUCACGUCCAUUUGGUACAUGGACCAACCCUUAUUGACAGCAACAGACAAUAGAACCCUAACUGAGUUCAUUUUUGCAACAGGAGCAAAUGUUUCUUUGUAAUCCACCUCAAAUGUUUGAGGGAAUCCUCGAGCCACCAGCCUGGCUUUAUGCCUCUCAAUUGAACCAUCAGAAUUAAACUUGAUCUUAUAGAUCCAUUUGCAGCCCAAUGCCCUUUUUCCUUUUGGAAGUUUGGUGAUGCUCCAGGUUUUGUGUUGGUCUAGUGCUUUGAGUUCAUCUCGCAUUGCUUCUUUCCACACAUCUUGGUUAUUAGCCUCAUGAAAGUUUUGAGGCUCACUGUGACUUGAAAUGGUGUUAAGAAAGGCAACAUGAGAUGGAGUUACCUUUUGAUACGACACGCAAUUGGAGAUUGGAUGCCUCGGUUUAUAUGUGACAAAAUCUUGAAAUCUUGUGGGAGGUUGUCUAUCACGCCGAGGAUUGCGUCGAGGUACUGGAGGAGUUGUCUCAUCCUCGUUCAAGUUAUCAGCCACACUUUGAAGAUUUCCUUGAUUGCCGUUGUCAUCAUCAUGCACAGAACCAUUAGGAUGAGUGCCUUCAUUGUUGACUUCAGUGAGAGGUGUAGGAGAUGCAUCGGUGCUGUCAUGGUUAUACACUCUGUCAUUUAAAACAUCUAGAAUGCUGAUUCUUGGUAGAGGAAACAGGUCUAAGAUACACUCCCCUUGACUUGUGGCUUCAUGUGAUUUGCUGAAAAAAGGGUUAGCUUCAUGGAAUCGAACAUCUUUGGAUACAAUUAUUUUUCUCAGUUGAGGAUCAUAGCACUUAUAUCCUUUUUGUGUUGAUGAAUAACCAAGAAAAACACAUUUGAGAGCUCUAGGAUCCAAUUUAGAUGCUCGAUGGUGUGACUGAAUAGGAACAAAACAGACACAACCAAAGACUAUAAGAUGUGAAAGGUCGAUUUUUCUUCCUUUCAUAACUUCAAGGGGAGAUUUAAACUCCAAGACUCGGCUAGGAAGUCUAUUGAUGAUGUACACAGCCGCCAUGACUCCUUGGGACCAAAAUUUCUUUGGUACAUUCAUUUGUAACAUUAAUGCUCUCGUUUUUUCCACUCUAUCACGAUUUUUUCUUUCGGCUACACCAUUUUGUUGAGGUGUGCCAACACAACUUGUUUGAUGCAUGAUACCAUGCUUGCUCAAAUAUUGUGACAUGCUAUGGGACAUAUAUUCAGUGCCAUUGUUAGAUCUUAAGGUUUGAAUUUGAGAGGAAAAAUGGUUCUUAACAAGGUUGUGAAAAUCCUUAAAAACUUCUAUCACUUCACUCUUAGACUUUAAAAGGUACAACCAUGUGGCUCUAGAGAAAUCAUCAACAAAGAUUACAUAAUACUUAUAACCAUCAAAAGAUUCAAACGUUGGUCCUCAUACAUCUGAGUGAACUAGUUCGAAAACUUUACUAGUCCUAGAUAAGGAUGAGUGAAAAGGCAAUCUAGUGGCUUUAGACAAAUGACAUGUUUCACAUUGAAUUAAAUCAUUUCCUAAGUUUGGAAACAAAGAUGACAAAACAGGUUGGGAAUGAUGAGCUAAACGUUGAUGCCACAAUUGACUAUCCUGGGAUGGAUUGGACUUGGCUUGAAAUCCUCUGGGACUGCUCUUUGAUAUGUAAUAGAGACCAUCUAGGUAAAACCCUUCACCAAUCGUCUUCUUGGUGAGACAAUCCUGAAAAAUGACAUUGUGAGAAGAGAAGAUGGCAAAACAAUUUAAGGUGUUGGUGAUUUUUCCCACAGAUAGAAGUUGAAAUGGAAAAGAAGGAACAUAUAAGGCUACUGACUCAAUUUUGUCCGACAUUAAGUUGAUAUUUCCCUUGCCUAAAACCUUAGAACUCUCACCAUUUGCAGUUGAGACUUGAGAAGGUUGUGAAUUUUUUUCAAACUUGUGAAACUUAGAAACAUGAUUGGUUAUAUGAUUUGUGGCACCCGAAUCAACAAUCCAAAAAUCAUGCAUCAUAUUUAUAUUAAGAGCAGUUUUGAAAGCAGUCAUGAUACCUAGCAUGUCAUCUCGGGGCAUGUGUUGUGUGUCUGUUAAGAAACCAUUGAACUUGCCUAGCAAAGCUGUUGAGUUUCCAUCUUCAAAACCAAUCGUGUGAUCACUCUUAAUCCCUUCUUUUUUGCUUUGAAGAUAUGCUGCAAAAUCAUUUAUGAGUGCAGCCGGAUUUGCUGUGAAGCUCUUGAGUGCAUCAGACCCAUGUGAGGUUGAUGCAGAUGCUUUGUAGGCUUUGUGUGGUGCACGAUUUUUUCUUUGUGAGCCCUUGUUAUCCUUCAUGAAAUCCGACUUUAAUUCUGGAUGUAAGAUCCAGCAUGUCUCCUUAACGUGACCAGUAUAGUUGCAGUGUUGGCACUUCAAGUGUGGAUUCUUCACUUUGUAUUUUCUUUCGUUGGUUAGGUAAGCCCUUGCUUCAGUUACACUGGUCUUUGUGCCAAUGUUCAUGACUUUCCUUCUUACUUCUUCACGUUGGAUUGUUGCACAUACACUGGUGAAGGAAGGUAGUUCGGGGUUCAUGAGUAUGUGGCUUCGCAGGUCUUCGUAUCCAGAAUCGAGACUUGACAAAAGUUGGAAUAUCUUGUCUUCUUCUGCGCUUUUCAGAAGUACGGACGCUUCAGUUGUAUGAGACCGAUACAUUUCCAACUCAUUCCACAUGUUUUUCAUGCUGCCUAGAAGUUGAACAAAGGGCUUUCCUUCUUGUUGUAGGUUGGAAAUGUCCUUCUUCAAUUGAAACACACGUGCAACAUUGUUCUGACUGCCAUACAUCUCCUUGACUGUUUCCCAUAGCUUGAAUGAUGAUUCAGAAUAACUGAAUAUUUCAGCUAUUUUACGUUCCAUGGAAUUUAGGAGUCAUGACAUAACUAGCUGAUCUUUGCAAAGCCAGGAUUCGUAUGUUGGUGAGGACGCAUCAGGAGCUUCGAUGCUUCCAUUUAUGAACCCUAGCUUGGACCUUCCACCUAGGGCAAGACUCACUGCUCUCGACCAAGGCAAGUAAUUAAACUCAUUUAACAAUACCGAGCUUAAUCUUUGAUUUGGAUUGACAUCCACCUCAGACAAGGUUGAUGAGGAAAAUAUCUGGGAAUUUUCAGCUUCAAAAGAAGAAGAAUUUUCUUCCGCCAUAUCGGAGAUGGUAGGAAUGCAGCAGCAGGUUAUUUUUCCUGCUCUGAUACCAUAUUGAUUUUAAUGUAUAUUUCAUAAAAUGAAUCAGCUACAAGGUCCAACAUAUAUAUGAUAAGAAAACGGGAAGGAGAGUGAAGCUGGAAAGGUGGAGAAUAAUGGCAGCAAUGGCAGCAUCAUUGUGACCUCCUGGCAGCUAAGCAAGCAUCAUUGUGUCCUCCACUCUCUCUAACUUAAACUACUAAUUAGCUUUACAAAGCUGAUGGAAUAACAACCAGCUAAACACUAGCACUAAGUUGAGCUGUUAUCCAUCAAAAAACUUAAACAAAUGGUUGCAUUAUUCUUCCAACAUUGAACCCUACGAACCCUACUUGCAUUAUUCCUCCAACAUUGAACCCUACUUCCAAUAAUGUUGGAAAGGUUCUUAUGUGUACAUCCGCUACACUACGCAGUAUGCCAAUGUGGUGUAUGACAUUUACACAUUAUAACCCUAAAUCUGACAUAUCUAGUUAGUUUUGAAUUAAUAUGUAUCCUAGCCCUAAACCCUAAAUGUUAUAUAUGUGAUAUAUUUGUCAUCUUUUAACUCUCCAAACUCCAAGUAAGAGAUCCCAAAGAUAACGCACACAUUAAUGAACACAAUAACAUUAUAUUAAUUGAUAUCAAAAUUCACGUAGGGACGAUGAGGUAUACAUAUGCAACCAUCCUAUUCAAUUAAUACUAGAUCAUACUUUGUAGGUAGUGAAAAGCUUAACACAUCCGCUCAGGCACGUGGACCGUUCCUUGGCCCUUUUUGUUAUCAGUUGUUGUCGUACCAGAACUGUUUUGAAGAUAUGAAACCAGUUUGUCAUCGACUUGGAAGGCCUUGGCUAGAACAUCAGGAUUGAUGGGAGGGUUGGCGCCAAACACUGCAUUUGCUAUGGUGAUGACUCCUGGGUUCUGGCUGCUAAGACCAGCAAUGGCGACAGCACUGGUAUGUCCCAAUUCAGUUGGAAGUGAAUAAGACCAACUGGGAACACAAACACAUCUCCCUUGUUCAACACCUUGGUGAAUAGACGAUUAUCUAGGUUGGACGUUACGAACCCAACGUAGAGUGUACCUUCCUGGAGAAAAAGGAUUUCCGUGCCGCGAGGGUGAGUGUAGGGAGGGUUUAGGCCAUUUGGUGCAAAGUCUAUGCGAGCUAGGGAUAUGCCGAGAAUGUUUAGUCCUGUUAUUUGAUCCACAUUAGCAGGUGUUACCGUUGAACCCAACGGAUUUUGUGUGCUUCUUGGAAUUUGAAUCCCAGAAAAAAAGAAAUUCAUUUGCUGAUGCAAGCUUUGGGUCCUUGCAGAAUUUCCCGUGCACAAACACUGCCAUUACACCCCAAAUGCAAAAAUUUAUUUAUUUAUUAAUAUUAAUGAGACUACGUACAUGAUUAACACGAACAAUAUAUAUGAGCUUCUAUUAAACAGGUGCCAAAUUGUCAUUACAUGUGAAACGUACAGAUAGUAUUACUAUUGUACGUACAAGGAACUAAAUAUGUAUGUACCAUGGUAUAAAAUAUCGAUGAGGUAGUCCAAAAAUAUGGAAAUUUCGAUGGAAAUAUCGGGAUAUUAUCGAUAUCGAUAAAAAUUGAAAAAAAACCACGGAAAUUGUAAGAAAAACUUGGAAAUUUUUAUUGAAAUUUUGGAGAAUGUUUAUUUAGUCAAUUAUCUACUCUCUGUUGCCGUUGCCGUUGAAUUGCCCCUGCUACUCUAGCUUCGUAAUCGCUAAUACUGGGUGCUUCGUUGCAAUUCGUUUCUCUAAAACGUUUUGGGUAUGUUCUCAAACCCUAUCUACUCUAAUCCUUCCCCUCAGCUCUCUGUUAGUCUCAAUUUUAUGUUCCUUUCUUAGAUUUGUUUUUCCAAUGUAAUUCUGAGGGGAUUUUAGGUAAUGAUUUGAUGGAGGAUCCUUAGUUAGGGUUUGAGGAUGUGUAAUCCAUGUUCUGGAUUUUAAUUGCUUUUAACUUCAAUUUCUGCGAGACUUCAAUCAAGCUGCAGUAAUGGUUUUAUAGUUAAAAUUGAUUGUGAGUCUUGGCACCACAAAAAUCAAUCCCUCGUAAUCAAUUGAAAUUAGGCUUAUGGUACUUGACAUUGAAACUGAAGUAGCAUGAAAAAUGGUCUCAAAAUGGUUUAGAGCAAUGAAAUGGGCUUUAAGGUUUGAUGCCCUCAAAGAUGGUGUGCUUAAUUGCAACUAUGUGCUUGAUAACAGAAGUUGCUCCAUGUAACUUCUUAUGCUUACAAGUGCCUUGUGAUGGUGGAUUCUUAUUUAAAGUAUGUUGUAGUUUGUGUUCUGGUUUGUGCUAAAUGUAAUAUAAUCUUUUUAAAUGUUAGAGUUUGCAUAUGUGGGGUUAUUGAACUUUGGGUUGGUUUCAGUGAAGGCCGUUUGGUCUAAUACUGGGAAUGCUCCUUUUCUAGUUUCUGAAUUCAUAAUCAGUUUAAGCAGCUUUCCCUUUUUGCUAGGUUGUGAUGACAUGCCUAUUCACAUGUGAACAAAGGUAAGUUUGCAAUUGACUUUUGAAAUUAUUUCCUUCAGCAUAUUGUGGCAAACCUCUACUUGCAUUAGUACUUUGGAUUUGUGUGUAAGGAAUGUAGGUUCUGUAGAUUCUAGGUUUAUAUGUUGCUUAGAUUCUGGUUUAAGAAACGCUAUGACCCUAGCUUGUCAUACUGAUUCUGUCAUAUGUGAUAUAGGUAUUAAUCUUCUAUGUUGGGUGGUUUGUUACAGGUUCUUUGCUCUCAAUUAUGCUGCAGAUGCUGCCUGCACCGUUCUACGGGUUGAUCAGGUACUCUCGAGUCUCUCCUCUCUAACGGUUACAAUUUUGUUGUGUACUGAGCUCAUAACCUCAGCAUGUUUGUGAAGGAAUGAAUUCGCUUGCAAAGACACAUUCUCUGUAACCUUUGACUUCUAUCAUCUUCUCUCUCCUCUUCGAAGUUCUCUGAUUGUUCCUCUGCAUUUUCAUCAUCUAUUUCAUCCCCAUUGUCACAUUCUCUGUGUCCAUGUUGUGGGAAAGUGUGGCCACUUAAUAUCUACACGGUUUAAGAAGUUUGUCUAAUCAUCUAAGCUAGCUUACUAAUUGUGUGGAAUAUGUAAAUAUGUAAUUUUAUGACAAACUUAAACUAUCUUAUGUUCUAUUGGAAGCUUAACUUUAUUACCGUGUGAGAAGUCAACACUUACAUGCUAUGUAAAAAUUGACGAAUUCAAUCCAUUCUCCUUGAAUUUCGACAUAUGACAUUUUACAAGCCAAAGUGAAACUUCGUGCAAAUUACAAAUCACAAUCUAGACAAAACUAAAUGUAAUUCAUGUUUAAACAAUAUAUGUAGUUCAUAGUUGCUUUCAAUUUCCCUUUAGUCUCGACGAGAAGGAUUAUAGAAGAAAACUUAUAUUUGAUUGACAUACAACAACUCGAGAAAAUGACCAUGAGAUCCUUAUUAUUUCUUGAAGAGUCUAAACAAAAACUACUUAUCGAGGGAGAGUUUUAUUUCGAAUGAUAUAAUCUAUGGUUUCUCGGAGUCCAAAUUUAGUUACCGCCAUGUUAGCCUCUCUAAAUCCUUGUCCAUAAUUUUUGUCCACAUUGGAUUCUAUUUUGUAGGUUGCAUACUUUUGCAAGUUUUCCAAAAAUACAGCAUGCCCGUGCCUGGUGUUGUAUGACUCCAAACCCUUCUUACAGCAUGAUGUCAACCAUAUGUGUGCCAUCACUUCACAAAUGCCUUCUGAAACUUUUUUUUCCAAAUGGUUACAAGUUACAACCUGUUACAAAUAAAAUAUUCAUCAAUUUGGAGAUUUUUUUAGGGUAAAUGUGGCACCACCACUUUGUUUUGCUUAAAAUACAUUGUCAUAUUUGGGUUAAAAUCAACUUUUUUCUAUAAAUAUUGGUGGACGAUAACUUUGUUACUUUCUCAACGUAGAGAGUCUAGAGUUGUAACACAAAUAUUGUAAUAUUGCAUGUCUGGAGUUAUAAUGCAAAUAUUGUUAGUCAUUUAAAUACAUUUUACUUAUCCAUGCAAAAGAAAAUUGGAUUCUAACCUUGAAGAGCUAACCAUGCAUGCAUCAUCUCAUGCGCCAAAGUUGCACCGAUCAUCACCCUGUACGUAAUAAAAUAUAAAGUAAAUAACAACUAUUUUGAGAGGAAGGUUAUAUAUAAUAGGAUAAUGCCGAAGAGAUUAAAUAUGUAAAUCAAGUUUUGUAAACCAAAUGACAUGAAAGUUGAUCAUUGAAUUAUUAUUAAGUGUUGAUUAACGUAUUUAUUUUUUUAUUGAUGACAUAUUAUUUGAUUUAUAAAUUUAAUAUAUCUAGCUUUUCUCAUAUAAUUCCGAGAGAUAGGUAAAUGAAAGAGUACUCUGAUCAGCCGAACAAAAGUAAAAUUGAUGACACUUUGCCCGAUGCCAACUUCUUGAUUUCUUUUUUCUGCACUUCAACAUUAUCACCUUUCCUUGAACAUUUUGAAAUCUGUUACAACCCAAAAGUAAGCGACAUAUACCUAUAAACAUACAUAUAUACUUUUAUUAUAAAGGCAAUGAUAUAUAAUGUAUGUGUGUAUGAAGUUUAAAGUUCGACAUUAAAAAGUUAAAAAGCCUUGCAUAUAUAGGUGUUAUAAGAAAUUAAGUUUUAGGUUCAACUGUUAAUGGUAAUUAUAUAGUAGUUGUAGUAGUAGUACAACUGAUUUUACGAGUAGACUCUUACCGUCAUGACAGUGUAAGGAGGGUGUGUGGUAACACCAACCACAUUCAGCAUCUGCACACAUGCAAAUAUGGUAUACAUGGAACGAAAUAAAUUUGGUAUACAACAUUAAAAAACAUAUAUACAAGAUAUGAUUUUAGUUAAAGUUGGUUACCUGUUCAUUUGGGUGAAUUCUUCUCAGUUCAUCGUCGUCGAUCAAUAAAAUAGGAAUUUUUUUAUCCACUUGGAGGCCUAACUUUUUAUAAAAUUUGCGCACAUUUUCAAUAAGACGUUUGCAUUUACUUGGAUGCAAGAUAGCAGUGGAAAAACAUUCCGAGCAAAGCUGCUGGUUAUUUCCAAGAUUCACAUAUUCAUUCUGCCCUGUUGUCUGACAAAUUAAUGAAACUUCCAUCAUCGGCCUCAUUAGAAGUAAUAUUGUAGUUUUAUAGUUGGGCUUAUAUAUGUUUGCAUUAAUAUGAACUUUCUCUGUACAAGUAUUCUAAUCUGAUAAAUUUUCAUUUAAUAUAUUUGCAAAAAAAAAGGGGAGAGAAAAAGGAUCGAGUGUGAUCUUGUUUGCAUGAAGACUGAGAGCUCUGAACAACCGGCCAUUCAAAGCAGUCCCCCUGCCUCUCACAGUUAGAAUUUUGCUUUCUGAAGUUUCAAAAAUGAUAAAGAAGGAUUGAGAACUAACUAUUUAGUUAAAUCUCAACCACUCACUUGUGAAGAGAAAUUUGUGAAAGCCCCUGCCUAGAGCCGAGGAUGGGAAUAGUAAAGCAAAUAUAUAUUAUAGCUAAUAGAGAAGCUAGUUCCAUUCAAUUCCAAAUAAAUACUUUUCUAUACUAACCUUGAAUCUGUCACACGUAUUACACCUUGGAGUUCCAUCAGAUUCAUGUAUCUUGUAAUAAUUAAAAUUCCAAAAUGGAAUCAUCCGCACAUUGUUCUGUAAGAAAAACAAGUUGAAAUAGCAUAAAAUUACAAUAACAAUAUAAAAAAAAUAAAAUAAAAUCCAAAAAAUUCAAGCAAAAUUAAUAAAUGAAAAAAUGUAAAAUUAGAAUGGACUUGAAACAAAACAUUGGAGAUGAUAAAGCACUUACAAUAGUACCAUAUGUGUUGCAGACAUUGCAUAAAAAGUAAUUUGGCAUCCGAUAACCAAGAAAUAAGCCAGUAUUUUCCAUCAAGUUGAACUGUAUCAUGUAGCAUGCAUGGUUAGUUAGAAACAGAGGCUAAGAGCUACUAGCUACAUAAGUGAUGCUUUUUAAUUAGUAGGAAAUUAUUUCUCACCAAAUACUAAUUAAUGUAAGGAAAUUAAUGCCCUCAAAAUAUUUAUACUGUUGCAGUCAUAUUUAGAAUAAAAAUGUGAUUGUGUAAAUCCUAAUGUAUCUAGGGAUAUUUUAGAAUAUUCUUCUUAGUAGGUAUUAUCAUAUUAAAUUGUAAUCCUAUUAGGGUAAGGAUUCAAUCUAUUCUACUAUUAUAAGUAAAGGCACAAUGAGGUGAUACAACACACAUCUUACACUUAAAUCUCUCUUCUCUCUUGCCGCCGACCUCUCUUCCUCUCUAAUCCUAAAUACAAUUCAGUCAAAUAGGCCUACAACAUAUACAUAUAUGAUUUUUUUUUUUUUUUUGCGUGUGAUAGUAAGACAAUCUAGGCCCUUUUGGGGCCCUGUGAAAAUUUAAUAAAAAGGUCCUACGUAUUCAAAAAUAAUAAUAAUUUUUUUAACAACGUAUUCAUACAAAAUUCAAUCAUCAAUAUUCAAUUGAAAUAAACAUCUUACUCUUAAUAAUUGUAUAAAUUUUGAUAGCCAUGAAUUUAUGAUAAAAGCUUCAUACAUUAAAAAAGGGGGCACGACUAAAGUAAUACACUUGUGUUUGUAAAAAAAAGGUAAUGCCCAGGUUGGUUUUUUAUUUCUAGCGAAAAAAAAAAAGAGAAACACAGUUUUUUCUUACUGUUAGAGAAAAAGAAAAAUUGAAAUAUUAAGUGUGUGUGUGCAUUGGCUCUGCUUAAUCAAUUGUAAUCUAGAUAAGUAAAAAAAUAUAUAUAUACUUAUAUUUAAUUUGUAAGAGGAUGAAAUUUUUUAGUCUUCAUAAAUUUAGAGUAUUAGCCCACCCUUUCUACAAUAUCUAGUUCAACCCUUGCUUUGACCCAUAAAUCAUGCAUAUUAUGUAAUCUACUCUUAAAUAAAGCACGAAACCAAAAAACAUAAUCAUACAACUAAACCUAUAAAAGUUACCUCAAACUGCAAUUUUUUAGAUCUUUGAGAGUUGAUGUGGAGACCUGGCUCAACUAGAAGAAUAGAGAGAUUGAAAUUUUGGAAGACGGAGAGGAAGGAAGAGAAUUGACGAGGAAGGUUUGCUCAAGGCUUCAUAUAUAUGUGUGUUUUUGGUGGGGUUUUUUUUUGUUGGGGGGGGGGGGGGGGUUGGGUUUGUUUCCUGCUUUUAGGGUUUGUUACUCAAAUUAUUUGAUUGCUUGAAUAAUUGGGUUUUUAUGGCUUUGAACAAAAAAGAAAAUGAAGCAGUUCGCGAUUAGAUUACUGGAUUUGUGUGGUGUUUUUGCCGUUUAAAUGCAAGCAAUGUAAAAGGAAACAAACAAAAAAAUUUCCUUUUUCAAAUAAGGUCUAUACCCUUCCUAAUUUUUUUGUUGACCUCUUCUUAAAAUUACAAAACGUUGAUUAACUAAAUGCUAAUAUUAAAAAUAUUCUGCGAGUUAAAACAAAUUUCUCUGUGUUUUUUAGCAAAGUACAUAAUGUUUGAACUCUUUGUUAAUAGUAGCCGAUUUACUCAUAAAAAGGGCCGAAAGUUGUAUUUGGCACUAUUCUAAAAAUCUCCGCCUACCACCUCCUAGACGCUAGGCAGCUGGGCAUUGCCUCGAUUAAUACCUAGACGUUUGAAAAUUAAGAAAAGACCCCUAGACCUGCUGAGGUGCCCACCUAGACCGCCUAUGCACCCAUCUAGCCCGCCCAUACCCACAUAGACACUUGCCUAGGUUGCAACUCACUUAGAUAGAAAAUAGAUAAUUUUCCCUUUGCAUUUUAUUGUUUCCAAUAAAUUUUAAAAGAUUUAUUGAACACUUAAAUAAACACACAUUAUAUGUUUGCUCCCCAUGUUUUCAUUAUGUUCUAAUACUUCAUAAUAUAUAUGUCAUUCUAUUUUCUAUUUUAUGAUGAAAUUAUAUAUAUUUUAAGUAUAAACAAACACUUAUUUACACAAAAUACAAUAGAUUUACUUAAAUUCACCUAAGCACCCGCCUAAGGCUCCACCGAGCAGCCUAGGAGCUAGGCCCCAGCCUACAGCCCGCAACCCGACUAGCGCCUAAUGUCUUUUAGAACCUUGGUAUUUGGUACCUUGUUUAAUAUUACGAUAAGUAACACUAAAAUAAGAGCUAAUUAAAAAAUAGGGAGCCUUAACGAAAAGCUCCUGGUACUAUUCACUUUAACGAAAAAUCAUAUUUUACUCUAAAAAAUCAAUCCUGCUACUAUUCACUUACAAUACUUUUUGUCAUUUUCAUUAGUCUUCCUUAAAAAAUAAGCAAAAUUAAGAAAUUAUUGAUAAAUAUGUUGUCCACUUUUGACUUAUAAUUUCUGCCCAUCGAAUUGUCAUAGUUUAUCAUAAACCCGAAAGUCAAUGGCAAAUAAUAACAGACAAAAUUCUACAUCCAUUUUUUUGAAAAGUGACAAAUCUAAUCACUAUAUGUGCGCUUCGUUAGUCAAUUAGAAAGGGGACAAAUCAUAUAUAUCAGCAAAUAAGCAGAGAAGCGAUGCAGGAUUUAGGGCUGAUUUGGUAUUGCUGUGAUUUGAAUAAAAAUUGCUUAUGUUGUGUUGUGAGAAUAAGCAGUUGUGAAUUAAAGCAACAGAGUGUUUGGUAAACUUUUUUAUAAAAGUGCUUUUGGAAAAAGAAAAAAACACUAUUAUAAUUUUUGGUAAACUUUUAUGUAAAAUAGCUAUGACUGUGUGAAAUGACCAAAAAAUGUAUAAUAUUAGAUGUGUCAUUAAUUUAAUUUUCUUAAGUCUUCCCCCUUUAUUUUCUCUAUCUGCAUCGAGAAGUCUCUCCCACUGCCCCACUACUGAACCAGACUUUCCAAAAACCAAAAACAUCUCUUAAGAAGUCUCCCCCAUAACCCCAAUUUUCUCAGUUUUUAUUUUUUUUUUGCUCCGCCUUCUUCUAUUUUAUUUUCUGCUCUGUUCCUCAAUCUCUCUCACAUGUCAUCUAAUUUGCAGUACAUACAUGGUCUAGCUGCUUGAGGAGUUCAUUAUAUACAUCGGGUAGGACCAACGCUCCAGGAUGCUGAUUUCUUUCUUCUUCCGGGACUAAUCAUUUUUUCUUUUUGAAACUAUAUAGUGUGAAUUUGAUCAUACGAAGUAGUUUUCUGUAUUUAAUUUUGCGUAUUUGGAAUAAUUGAGUUUUGGUGUCCGUCUAGGCAAUCUAGACUCUCCUGAUUUGCAAAAAUAUAAAGAUCAGUCACUUGUAAGCGGUGCAAUCUAGGAAAUCUGGGCAAAUCUACGAUGCCAAAAAUCGAAUCUAGUCCUCGUCGGAAAAAAUGGUGGUAUUUCUCGACGCAAUUUUAUCGACAUGGGGGUGAGAGAGGACGGACAAGAGAUAGGAGGAAGGACAGAGGCAGAUACAACAUCUUAGGGUAUGGAAUCUGUUAGUACCAUAUUAUAUUGGGCCUCGUUACUUGGGCUUUCAGACAUUGAGCCUAUGAUCUAUGUAAAAGGGAAGGAGCCCUUAGUCUAUAAAAGGGACUCCUCACCCUUACAAUCCUCAAGCCUCACAUCCCCAAACAGAGGCUCUCAUAUUCAGAGCAAAGCUCUCUCAAACUCUCUAUUUCUCUCGGGGACUCCCCCUCACACUUGUAAUCCAUACAUACAGUUACAGAGAAAUACAAUCAACAUCAGUGUGGACGUAGCCCAAACAUUGGGGUGAACCACGAUACAUCUUGUGUUCUUUACUUUCUUGCAGAUUCACGGUCGGAUUUACGUUGUUCCAAGACCCCUCCGGUUUUGUGCAUCAACAUUUGGCACCAUCUGUGGGAAAAGACACGAAAAGCUAUGUCGGUUAUCUCUCAAUUUUUCAUCUCACCACCGUGAAACCUUCAAAACCUCACCACUGUCCACCGUGGAUCUGCAAAACCCACACAGAGACACAGACAUAAAGCUCUCUCUCUUUCUUCAUUUUCCAUGGCUACGGCUCAUUCUUCCCAAGUCAGCCAUCUCCUCCAAAAGCAACUCAAAGAUCUCUGCAAACACCCAGUUGAUGGAUUCUCGACCGGUUUGGUGAACGAAGACAACAUCUUUGAAUGGAACGUCACGAUUAUUAGCCCACCCGACACUCUCUAUGAGGGUGGUUUCUUUAAUGCCAUCAUGAGUUUCCCCGAGGAUUAUCCAUGCAACCCUCCUAUAGUGAGAUUUACCUCAUAGAUGUGGCACCCUAAUGUUUACACUGAUGGAAAGGUUUGUGUUUCAAUUCUUCAUCCCCCUGGUGACGAUCCAAAUGGCUAUGAGUUUGUAACUGAGCAUUGGAAUCCAGUCCAUACAAUACUGCCGCCGAGCAUGGAAGCCAAGAUUCAGGCUUAUGGUAGAGCUACAGUGAUGGGUUUUCUUCAACAACCCACUUGGACAAAGGGAAUAGCUUUUCCCAACAAAAGGCUUAGCUUCACCGGACAUUCACAUAUGUUAGCAUGUUGAUGUUCUGUUCCCUUCUUGAGCCUAAAGAAAAAUGAGUUCAGCAUCUCUCAGAAAACUCACACACACAUCAGAAAAACUAGAAACGUACCAGAAAGUGAUCCAAGACGGUCGUCGGCGCUCUUCAAUCGUCGGAGAAUAUCACAAACACGACGUCGCUUUGUCGACCUUCAAUCACACUCACACUGAAAACACAGAAGAGUGCAAGAAACACAAUCUCCGAUUUGUACCCUUGAAUUUAAUUUCAAUCUUCAAACUCCGAUUUAUUUGAAUUUUAUUUAUUUGGGAGGGGAUUGAUCCUUGAAGCUUAGAGAAGCCCUAGAAUCUCAGAGCGGAGCAGAACAAAGAUGCCUUAGGUGAGGAUCAUAAUGAAGAAUUUCAUGGACAUGGUGACCACCCUGCCUGCCAUGAAGCUCGACAAGCUCUACGAAAAGGCUUUCCUCUGCAAAAGCACAUGUCAUCCCACUACAAGGUCCUAGCAGUAACUAGGCUGAAAGCAAAAGCAAAGCAAAAGUAAAACAAAAAAAAAGCAGAAAGUAAAAGCAAAAGUUGUUGAUGCACAAAAUCAGUGAGGACUUUGGUACAACGGAAAUUGUUAAGUUUGUGACCUUCGCUAGAUUGCUCCGGUCACUAGUGUGGAUAAGUAUGUAAAUGGAUAAGGACAGGGAAGCAAACAUAAGAUGUACGUGGUUCACCCAGAUUGGCUACGUCCACAGAGUAAAGGAGUUCUCAUUAAUUGUGAAGGGUUUACACGAGUACAUAGGUUCAAGCUCUCCUUUAGUGAGUACUAGUGAAUGAUUUAAUACAAAUGACAUUAGGAAAUAUUGUGAGAAUGAUCUCUAUUUAUAGAAGAGGGUUUCUAGUUUCAUUCUGACAUUGACACGUGUCGUGUUGUGAUUGGCUUCUGAUGUUGACACAUGUCGCGCUAUGAUUGGCUUCUGAUGUCGACACGUGUCGCGCUGUGAUUGGCCUCCUGGUUGUAAGGAAACUCUUCUAGGUCCUUGAUGAUAUAACGUUGACCGGUGCUCAGUAGUUUCGGGAUUGGUCAAGUAUGGUACAAACAUUGCUCCUCUAAAUUCCCGAGUGAGGGAAGCUCCUUGGUUGGGGACUUGCAAGAUCCAAGCCAUUGAGUAAUCACAAAACUUCUAAAUAACAAAGUGUGGUAUCACUUUCACUUGCCUUAUCUGUCUCAUACGUAGAUGUGGCAUCUUCUCUGAAAGUACUUUUCCUCCAUUUAGGGUUGGUAUCUUUAACUGAUGAAGAUGCAUAAGGUAAUGUAUCAAUUUCACUUGAAGCUUACUUGUAGUUUCAGGCUUGGUCAAGUGCGAUACAAAACCCUAUAGUAGGAUUCCCCCAAGUCGCCGAGCUAGGAGAUUUGCCGAAAGAGGUAACAGACAAGGUAAGCAAUCAGACUUCUAAGCAAGCAACCUGGAUCGGAGGUUCAACUUCGGCUUCCGGUUGAUUGUUCUCCUUUUCUUUGUGUUGUAAACAACAACAAGGAUAAGGAGAAGCAAAUGGAGAAGAGAUGAUAUGAGAUACUUUUGCUUUUGAAGAAGUAACUUUCCACAGGCUUAUUCUUGAACUAGGCUGGAGGGUUUUCUGGUUUCCUCCAGAGUAUAAGGCUGACUCAAGAAUUUAAGGGUCAAAACAAGUCGAUCAAAUCAAGAGUGCGUUCGACCUUGAUGAUAUGAGAUACUUUUGCUGUUGACGAACUAAUAGAUGAAUCGGCAUGUGUUCUGUUGUGUUUGUCUCCACAUGCUUCCUUGUAUCCUUCUCACUUGCCCUAUCUAUUUCUCAAGCAGAUGUGGUAUCUUUUCUGGAAGCAUAAGAUGUUGAAGAUGAGUACUCGAGAGCAGUGCCAGGUAAGUAAUCAAGCAAGGGGUUCCAGGCAGUUAGUUCCUGACUAGAAGCUUGAUUCCAAGUGCUGACUGAUUGCUCUCUUUCUCCUUGUCUUACAGGUAAGAACAAGGGCAAAGGAAAAGACAGGGAAAAAGCAUGAUAUGAGAUACUCUUGCUUUUGACCUUGAUAAUAUGAGAUACUCUUACUCUGGUGUGGCUGGUUUGCAUAGGUAUUAUUGAGGGAUGAAGAAAGUUGAGUAUUUCGAGAGGCUUCGUUGGGAGUGCCCUCUUAGAUAUGAGGAAGGGUUGAACAUUUUUGCAGGCAUGCGUGUCCGUGGAGGAUAGAGGUUGACAUAUAUAAGAGUCUCCCUAACAACAAAUAGUAAUGAUAUUCCUUUACCCUUCUUGGUCGUAGCAAUGUAGUGAGAGCUGUAAGCUUCACGUGUUUUAACUUUGUCAAAGCACUUUGAAAAGGUUGUAUGUGGUAUCUGGAAAGCUGAUGUUGCGUGUGAAGAUUGCAGACAAGCUUUAUCCAAGGAAAUCUGGCUCUCGAAGUUCGGAGAGUGAUGCCUCUUCGAUUUUUGAACAAGCAAUCAUGUCGGGGAUCUAGCUCUCGAGAUUCGGAGAGCGAUGCCUCUUCGAUUUUUUAGAAAGUAAUCCUGUUGGGAGUCUGGCUCUUGAGAUUCGGAAAGCGGUGCCUCUUCGAUUUUUGAGAAAGUAAUCCUGUUGGGAGUCUGGCUCUUGAGAUUCGGAGGGCGGUGCCUCUUCGAUCGAUUUUUGAGAAAGUAAUCCUAUUGGGAGUCUGGCUCUCGAGAUUCGGAGGGCGGUGCCUCUUCGAUUUUUGAGCAAGUAAUAAUGAUAUUCCUUUACCCUUCUUGGUCAUAACAAUGUAGUGGGAGCUGCAAGCUUCACAUGUUUUAACUUUGUCAGAGCGCUUUGAAAAAAAUGGUCUGUGGUAUCUGGAAAGCUGAUGUUGCGUGUGAAGAUUAUAGACAAGCUUUAUUUAAGGAAAUCUGGCUCUCGAAGUUCGGAAAGCGGUGCUUCUUCGAUUUUCGAACAAGCAAUCCUGUCGGGGAUAUGGCUCUUGAGAUUCAAAGAACGGUGCCUCUUUGAUUUUUUUAGAAAGCAAUCAUGUUGGGAGUCUGACUCUUGAGAUUCGGAGAGCAGUGUCUCUUCGAUUUUUGAGAAAGUAAUCAUGUUGGGAGUAUGACUCUCGAGAUUCAAAGAAUGGGUCCUCUUCGAUUUUUGAGCAAGCAAUCUUGUUGGGAGUGUUUUCUCGAAUGUGAAUAAGGGUUGGGCAUUUUUACCAAUCUGCCUUGCCAUGGAGCACGAAGGUUGACACACAUUGGGACUUUCUAGUUAUCAAGCAGUGGUGUUGUUCCUUUAUCCUUGUGGGUAAUAGUAGGGUAGCUGGACCUUCAAAAUUUAUGUGUCUAAACUUUGUCAGAGAUCUUUGGCAAAGUUAUAUGUGGUACCUGAGGAGCUGAUGUUGUGUGUGGAAAGUGGUGCCUCUUCGAAAUCCGGAGAGUGGUGCCUCUUUGAUUUUUAAACCAACGGCCAUGUUGCCCUUUCUUUUAUAAGGGCACCAAUUGUGUGCAAGGAGUACAUUUAGAGAGUUAUUGCUUGUAGGAAUUUUUCCCAUACAUCAGAGAUUUAUUGCACCUCAUUUCUCUUUCAUUAUUUCUGAGAAUGUCUGGCCCAUCCGACCGUCGUUUUGACUUGAACUUUGGUGAAGAGGCAGCCAUGCCUUCUCAAGACAACAUAGGGCACCCAUCCUUCUUAUCCCUUACUGGUCCUUUUACCGUUGGGGACUCUGUGAUGAAGAAUGAUAUGACCGCUGCGGUAGUGGCCAGGAACUUUCUCACUCCCAAAGAUAACAUACUAUUUUCCAAAUGGUCUGAUGAGUUGGUUGUUAAGGAUUCUCUGGCUCUCAGUGUUCAGUGUGUAGGUUCUGUGUCUAAUAUGGCCCAACGCCCAUUUGCUCGAACCCACCAAGUUGAAUCAUUAGCGGCUGAAGUGAUAAGUCUCAAACAGGAGAUCAGAGGGCUCAAGCAUGAGAAUAAACAAUUGCACAGGCUCCCACAUGACUAUGCUACAAAUAUGAUGAGGAAGCUCAACCAGCUGCAGGAAUCUGAUGGUUAGAUUUUACUUGAUCAUCAGAGGUUUGUGGGUUUGUUCCAAAGGCAUUUAUUGCCUUCGUCUUUUGGGGCUGUACUGCAUAAUGAAGCUCCAAAUGAUCAACCUUCGGUGUCUCAUCCUUCUGAGGUUCUGCAUAGUACUGAGGCUCCGAAUAAUCACCCUCUGGUGCCUCCUCUUUCUGAGGCCUGCUAACUGCUGAGACUUCUCCUGAACAACCUUUGUGAAGGUUCCCUCUUGUUUGUUUAUUUUGAUUCAUGUAUAUGUACAUAUUUGUAACUUAUCGGAGAUAUCAAUAAAUAAGCUUUGCUUCAUUUGAACGUAUUGUGUUAAAUACACCAAGACAUUCUUCACUAAAUUCUUUGAAUUUUUCCUUUUGUUGAAGCUUGUAUGUUGAAGCUUUGUGAGUAAAGCAUGUAGGUUGAGGUAGUGCUCCCUUAAUUUCCCGAGUGAGGAAAACUUCUCGUUUGGAGACUUGAAAAAUCCAAUUCACUGAGUGGUCGUGAGACUUCCGAGUAUCAAGGUGCAAUAGCAUAUGGUAGGAGUCCCCCAAGUCUGCGGUCAAAAGAGUUGACGAAUGAGGCAUUUCCUUUCUAAGUCGUAGCCUAAAACUCCUUCAUAUAUAUUUGUUAUGAAAGUUGUUAAGUCCAAAGAAGAUGAGGCCUAGGCAAUUUUUUAAUGUUUUUUUUCGAUUUUUUUUUUUUUGAAUUUCUGAAUUUUCGAAUUUCCAAAAUAUAUAUAUAUAUAUAUAUAUAUAUAUAUAUAUUUUAAAGCUUUGUAGGUGAAGCUUUGAGGUUGAAGCUUUUUUGGGCACCAUGAAUUGAUUUUGCUUCACACUAUCUUGAUUAAGAUAGUGUGAAGCUUUUGUGUUGAAGUUUUGUAGGUGAAGCUUUUGUGGGUGAAGCUUUUGCGGGUCAAGCUUUUAUGGGUGAAGCUUUUGCGGGUCAAGCUUUUGUGGGUCAAGCUUUUGUAGGUCAAGCUUUUGUGGGUCAAGCUUUUGCAAGCUUUUAUGGGUGAAGCUUUUAUAGGUGAAGUUUUUGUGGGUCAAGCUUUUGUAGGUUAAGCUUUUGUGGGUCAAGCUUUUAUGGGUCAAGUUUUUGUAGGUCAAGCUUUUGUGGGUCAAGCUUUUGUGGCCAGACCUUAAAGCUUGUUCACUAUUUUUCAUGGCCCUGUUGGAAGAUUUAGAUAUGGGUGUGCCACCACUUAUGGAAUAUAUCACAUUUACCUGGCGUUGGUUACGGUUACCUUUUGGAGGGUGAAGGAGGAAUUGAUCAAUUUUUCCUUCACGCUCCAGAGCUUCAAUAUGAUCACGAAGGGUGAUACACUUCUCGCUGUCAUGGCCGUUAUGCUCGUGGUAGCAGCAAAACGUGCCCAUGUUCUUCGUGGGCUUGUAAUCCGGGUGCCUCGGCUUUGGCUUCGGUAUCAAGUGUGCUAUACUAAGGUAAAUGGCCACGCAUGUGGCGUUCAAAGAUAUGUAUGCCUUAUACCUCGGGGUAGGGGUUGUCCUGACACGUGCUUAACACUCUAUGUUGACUGCCUAGGGUCGAGGAUUAUCAUGGCGAUACCCUUGGUUAUCGCGGUAGUGUCCCUUACUUCUUUUACUAAAAUGAGACUGGUGAUGAUGGAAAUCUUUCCUUUUACCCUGAGAUUGAUAUGUCUGUUGACUUGGCAAAGUAUUAAGUAAGGCAGUGGGAGGCACUGCUACCGUUUGGAAGGUCGAGGUCUUCUCAUUUGGUUGGAUCUGGCUUCCACUCCCUACUUGCUGAUAAGGGGUGGUUGUGAGGGGUUUCCCUUAGUAUGUCAUUGCCUCGGCGGAAGCAUGGUUGUAAGCCUGUGCCAUCACCUCAAAGUAAGUCUUCCAAGUGUUGGCAUUGAUCAUGUACUGGAAGAAACAAUCACGUAUGCCUUGAAGGCGGUCUUGUCAUCUGCCUCAGCGCAGCGAGAAUAUUCAUGGCUGAAACGAUCGGCAUACUCUCGUAGUGACUCGUCCGGCUUCUGGCGAAUAAUGUACAAGUCAUCUGCAGAAUGCAAGCGAUCGGUCUGGAAGAUGUGUUGAAAGAUAAACAGUUUCCUUAGUUCCUCAAAUGAGUCUACUGUCUCAGGCGGAAGACAACAAUGCCAGUUUAGAGCUUCAUCAGAGAAGGUGGAGGGGAAGAGAAGACAUCGCUCUUCGUUGGUGUGUAUCCGAUAUGCCAUGGUGGACUCAAGGAGGUUAAGGUGUUUAAUUGGGUCCUCCCUUCCAGUAUAGAAUUGUAAACUGAGCUUUUGUUUUGUCUUCGCUUGAAGGGGGUGUCAAGAAUCCUCCUUGUGAGAGGGCCAAGCCUGGGUUGGUUCCAGUCAAGUAUCUCGGCCUGGCGUUCGGCCUUCAACUUGUUUACUUCCUCAAUGAGCUGUAGGACAAGGGGGUCUUGAGUGGAGUCAUGUACCACUGGGAUUUUCUUUCAUAAGUCUCCAUCGCCUCUUGGAAGUAGGAAAGUUUGAGCAAGGGCGUGUGAUUUUUCCUUGGACUCACCGUACUGACUUCUAGGCCGAGUCUGUCGGAAUACCUCAAAGUUCCAUGUACCUUCAUGUUCCUCUAGGACAUGUCGUUUCUUCCCUAGAUUGGCAGCUGGCCUAGGUCGUGAGAGGGGACUGAGUCUUUCAGAAACCCUUGGGUCAUUGAUCUUCUAGCAUAUGUGGAGGGGAUUCUCUCGACGUUGCUUUAGGAAGUCUCGGUAGUUACGAUAAAUGGCUUUCGAUCCUUCCAACCCUUCUGCAAGAAGUUGUCUUCCUCCACUUCUCUUGCUUCGGGUUGAAGCAGCUGGGUUGAGAGAAGUCUCAUAUUGAUCAAUGUUUUGAUGAUUAGCUCGCUCCUCAUCAGGGAUACCCAUGUCGAAGGAAGGUGACCUUCCGUGUUGGGGGGCACCCACAUGAUGGUUGAUGUCCACAGGGGCAAUAAGCUCGUGUGUUUGAGUACGCAUAGUUUUGUGGAGCGUCUCAAAGAGCUUCUCAUACUGCUCAUUGAGGACCUCAUUCUUCAUUGCUAUCUUGUUGUUUUGAGCUUCUAACUCAUCAACUUUAGCUCGAAAACCAACCCUCUUUCCUUCCUUCUUUUGUUGCUUCACACUAGGUGCAAGAGGGGUGUCAUUCUGUGUGAUAUGGCUUCCUUCGCUCCCCAUGUUGGAGAGGGAUGCCUGGUCAAAAGAGGGUGUACAAAUGGUGGAAACCAGUUUGACAAAUCUGAAGAGAGUGGGAAUAAGUGUUGUUCCCACAGACAGCGCCAAAUGUUGAUGCACAAGAUCAGUGAAGACUUUGGUACAACAGAAAGUAUUAAGUUUGUGACCUUCGCUAGAUUGCUCCGGUCACUAAUGUGGAUAAGUAUGUAAAUAGAUAGGGACAGAGAAGCAAACACAAGAUGUACGUGGUUCACCCAGAUUAGCUACGUCCAUGGAGUAGAGGAGUUCUCAUUAAUUGUGAAGGGUUUACACAAGUACAUGGGUUCAAGCUCUCCUUUAGUGAGUACUAGUGAAUGAUUUAGUACAAAUGACAUUAGGAAAUAUUGUGAGAGAAUGAUCUCUAUUUAUAAAAGAGAGUUUCUAGUUUCAUUCUGACAUUGACACGUGUCGUGUUGUGAUUGGCUUCUGAUGUUGACACGUGUCGCGCUAUGAUUGGCUUCUGAUGGUGACACGUGUCGUGUUGUGAUUGGCCUCCUAGUUGUAGGGAAACUUUUUUGGGUCCUUGACGGUAUAACGUUGACCGGUGCUCAGUAGUUUCGGGAUUGGUCAAGUAUGGUACAAACAAAAGUAAAAGCUCAAAUUCCCUUCAAUUGUGCAGAUAGGCUUUGAAAGUUGCAGGAAAUAGAGUGGCAUAAAAAAUAAAAGAGGAAGUAAUGAUGGUGCCAGAUGCACCGAAAGUAAUUACAAAAAAAAAGGAAAAGAGGAAAAGUGGAAUAAAAAAGAAAAUAGGAAGUAAUGAUGGCGCCAGGUGCAGCAAAAGCAAUUCAAACUCCAACCUUCAUCCCUCCACUGAAAGUUCACCCUCUAUUAUCACCAACCAUGUGAUCAAAAGUACGUCCAGUACUCAAAAAUUAUUCGGCCGCUUGCCGUUAUUAUCACUAACCAGGUGAUCAAAAGUACGUCCAGUACUCCAAAAUUAUUUGGCAGCCUGUCGCUAUUAUCACCAACCAGGUGAUCAAAAGUACGUCCAGUACUCCAAAAUUAUACAUGAGCAUCACUCAUGUCAAUCAUACAUAAACAUUCAUGAACAUCACUCAUGUCAACAUUCAUGAGCAUCACUCAUGUCAAUCAACAUAGACAUUCAUGAGCAUCACUCAUGUCAUUCAACUUUGAAAGCUUCAUUUACAAGAGCUCCAGCUUCGAAAGCUUCAUUUACAAAGCUCCGACUUCAAAGCUUCAUUUACAAAAGCUUCAACUUCAAAACUUCACCUACAAAGCUUCAGUGCAUGGUAUACAAAAACCACCUCCGAACAACUGCCACUUCGACCCACACAUGGGCUGAAUUUCAUGUCUCCAGCUAAAAGACUUUCUUGACUGAAGACUUAGGGGACUACUUAGUACCAUAUUAUAUUGAGCCUCGUUACUUGGGCUUCCAGACAUUGAGCCCAUUAUUUAUGUACUGAAGAGUGAACCCUUAUUCUAUAAAAAGAACUCCCUCACUUUCAUUAGAGAACACCCAUUAUUCAUGUAUUGAGGAGCGAGCCCUUAUUCUAUAAAAGGGACUUCAUCACCAUCAUUAGAGAGCAUCGUCACCUGCUGAACAACCGCCUCACCGUGAGCAUCAACUCUAGCCUAUCAUUUAUGUAUUGAGGAGCGAGCCCUUAUUCUAUACAAUGGACUCCUUCACCUCUAUUAGAGAGUAUCGCCACCAGCUGACCAAUCGCCUCGCAUCGAGCAUCACUUCUAACCCAUCACUUAUGUAUUGAUGAGCGAUCCCUUAUUCUACAAAAGGGACUCCCUCACCAUCAUUAAAGAGUAUCGCCGCCAGCUGAGCAAUCGCCUCGCUGCGAGCAUCACUUCUAACCCAUCACUUAUGUAUUGAUGAGCGAGCCUUUAUUUUAUAAAAAUGACUCCCUCACCUUCAACGCCACAAGCCGAGCCAACCAUGUAUUGAGGAGCGAGCCCUUAUUCUAUAAAAGGGACUCCCUCACCAUCAUUAGAGAACAUCACCGCCUGCUGAGCAACCGCCUUACCCCGAGCAUCAACUCUAGCCCAUCAUUUAUGUAUUAAGGAGCGAGCCCUUAUUCUAUAAAAGGGACUCCCUCACCUCCAUUAGAGAACAUCGCCACCAGCUGAGCAAUCGCCUUGCCGUGAGCAUCACUUCUAACCCAUCACUUAUGUAUUGAGGAGCGAGCCCUUAUUCUAUAAAAGGGACUCCCUCACCAUCAUUAGAGAGCAUUGCCGCCAACUGAGCAACCGCCUCGCAGUGAGCAUCACUCCUGACCCAUCACUUAUGUAUUGAGGAGCGAGCCCUUAUUCUAUAAAAUGGACUCCCUCCCCUUUAACGCCACAAGCCGAGCCAACCAAGGCAACAUAAGCCACAAGCCGAGUAGCCUCGCAACAUGUGCUACUUCUAGUUGAGCAUCAUUUCACAUUAAACACCGCCUCAUAUCGAGUAUUCUAGUUACUUCAGCCCACACAUGGACUGAAUUUCAAAUCUCCAGCCAAAAGACUUUCUUGAAUGAAGACUUUGGGGAUUACUGUUAGUACCAUGUUAUAUUGGGCCUCGUUACUUGGGCUUCCAAACAUUUAGCCCAUGAUCUAUGUAAAAGGGGAUGAGCCUUUAGUUUAUAAAAGAGAUUCCUCACCCUCACAAUCCUCAAGCCUCACAUCCCCAAACAGAGGCUCUCAUAUUCAGAGCAAAGCUCUCUCAAACUCUCUCUUUCUCUGGGGGACUCCCUCUCACACUUGUAAUCCAUACAUACAGUUGUAGAUAAAUACAAUUAACAUCAAUAUGGACGUAGCCCAAACAUUGGGGUGAACCACGAUACAUAUUGUGUUAUUUACUUUCUUGCAGAUUCACGGUCGGAUUUACGUUGUUCCAAGACCCCUCCGGUUUUGUGCAUCAACAGAAUCCAAGGUCAAUAAUGGUGAUUGUUAAAGCUGGAAGUGAACGGCGUUGUGGCCGGAUCGACGAGGAUGACCUCCCAAUUGAAGUUGGCGACGUUUUCCAGUUGGUAUUAUGUGUAAUUAUUUAAUUGUUUAAGGUCAUUUUGGGUGUUUGAAAGUUUCAUUAAAGGGCUCAACACUUCUUGCAAAUUAGGUUUGCGCAGAAGCUGUGGAAGCAAAAAAACUGGUUUUUCAAAGCUAGCUUUUGCUGCUUUGAACUUUCAGCUUUUUUCAUCUAAAAAAAAGAAGCUGAAGUUGAAUGUUUAUCCCAGCUUUUUUUUAUACCCCACUUUUUUAAAAAGCAACUCAGUAUCAAACCAGUACUUACAAGUGUUGGCCAACAAUAUAUAUAUAUUACCAGUCACACGCUGGAUAUAAUUAGUAAUCGACUGGGAGCUCAAUUUAUAUGAUGAGGUUGGUUUUUUUCUCUAUCUUUUUUUGGUACAUUUUAUAACCAUUUGAAAAAUUAGGAAACGAACGCUUGUGAAAAAUUUAAAUGUAUAUUGGCAUGCUCAAUUCCAAAUUGAAGAUAACUUUAAUUUCAUUUUGUUGAUGCACAAAACCGGAGGGGUCUAGGAACAACAUAGAUCCGACCGUAAAUCUGCAAGAAAGUAAAAAACACAAGAUGUAUCGUGGUUCAUCCCAAUGUUUGGGCUACGUCUACACUGAUGUUGAUUGUAUUUCUUUGUAACUGUAUGUAUGGAUUACAAGUGUUAAGGGGAGUCCCCUAGAGAAAAAGAGAGUUUGAGAGAGUUUCCCUGUUUGUGAUAGGGUUGCUAAAUGUGAGGCCUCUGUUUGGGGAUACGAGGCCUCAGGAUCGUGAGGGUGAAGAGUCUCUUUUAUAGACUAAGGGCUCCUCCCCUUUUACAUAAAUCAUGGACUCAAUGUUUAAAAGCCCAAGUAACGAGGCCCAAUAUAAUAUGGUACCAACAGUAGUCCCUCAAGUCUUCAGUCAAGAGAGUUUUUUGGCUAGAGACUUGAAAUUCAGUCCAUGUGUGGGCCGAAGUAACUAUAUGUCAUCUAGAACUAAUACUCGAUAUGAGGAGAUGUUCAAUGUGAAGUGAUGUUUAACUAAAAGUAGCACAUGUUGCGAUGCUGCUUGGCUCGGCUUGUGGCAUUGAAGGUGAGGGAGUCCCUUUUAUAGAAUAAGGGCUCCCUGCUCAAUACAUAAGUGAUGGGUUAAGAGUGAUGCUCGCGGCAAGGCAGUUGCUCAGCUGGGGGCAAUGCUCUCUAAUGAAGGUGAAGGAGUCCCUUUUAUAGAAUAAAGGUUCACUCCUCAGUACAUAAAUGAUUGGCUAAGAGUCUCUCUCUAAUGAAGGUGAGGGAGUCCCUUUUAUAAAAUAAGGGUUCGCCCCUCAAUACAUGAAUAAUGGGCGCUCUCUAAUGAAAGCGAGGGAGUCCCUUUUAUAGAAUAUGGGUUCGCUCCUCAGUACAUAAAUAAUGGGCUAAGUCCCCCAAGUAUUUUUCAUAAGGCUCAAUUACGAAAGCCCAAUAUAUGGUAUAUAGUGUAGUCUCUCAAGUCUUCAGUCAAUAGAGUCUGUUGGCUAGAGACUUUAAAUUCAAUCCAUGUUUGGGCCGAAGUGGCGGUUGUUCGGAGACGUUCUUUGUAUACCAUGCACUGAAGCUUUGUAGGUGAAGCUUUGAAGGUGAAGUAUUAUAGGUGAGGCUUUGAAAGUGAAGCUUUGAAGUCGGAGCUUUGUAAAUGAAACUUUCGAAGCUAGAGCUCUUUCAAAGUUGAUUGACAUGAGUGGUGCUCAUGAAUGUUUAUGUUGAUUGACAUGAGUGAUGCUCAUGGAUGUUGACAUGAGUGAUACUUAUGAAUGUUGACAUGAGUGAUGCUCAUGAAUGUUUAUGUCUGAUUGACAUGAGUGAUGUUCAUAAAUGUUUAUGUAUGAUUUUAGAAUAUUGGACGUACUUGUGAUCACCUAGUUAGUGAUAAUAGAGGCAGGCUGCCGAAUAAUUUUGGAGUACUGGACGUACUUUUGAUCACCUGGUUGGUGAUAAUAGAGGCAGGCUGCCGAAUAAUUUUGGAGUACUGGACGUACUUUUGAUCAUCUUGUUGGUGAUAAUAGCGGCAGGCUGCCAAAUAAUUUUGGAGUACUGGACGUACUUUUAAUCACCUAGUGGGUGAUAAUAGCGGCAGGCUGCUGAAUAAUUUUGGAGUACUGGAUGUACUUUUGAUCACCUGAUUGGGGAUAAGCAAAUGGGUGUUCGGUCAGACAAGAGAUCACCAUGAGCACGUGGCUCAUCAGUCUAUAAGUUGGUAGACUUCUUUAAUCAGCAACAAUGUUGAUCAGUGAAUCUAGUUGCUCAAUAAUUCCUGACAAUAAAUGAUAGUAUAAGUACGACCGUAUAAUGAAUAAAUCAAAUUGACAAAGUUUGUCAAGGCAAAAUAUUGUAUUAUGUGUCUUUUUUGAAUAAAUGAUUUAUUAUGUUGUGUGAUAAAUGACAUGUUGCAUAAAUCAACAAUAUAUUAGGCAUUGCCUAAAUGUGUGUGUAUAUAUAUAAUCAUGAAUAAAUGAUUUAUUCAGUUGUUUGAUAAAUAACAUGUUGUAUAAAUCAAUAAUGUGGUAGUAAUCAUGUGAUAUAAGAAAUAAUAAUUAUAUUAUUUAAUCAUAAGUCAUCAUGACAUAAAAAUAAUAAAAUUAUUAUUUUAUAAUUAGUCAUCAUGACAUAAAUAAAAUAAUAUGAUAUUAAAUAAACAAUGAUAUGAAGAAAACAUAAUGAUGGGUUUCUUUCAAGCAUGGCCGAUAGUAAUUAUAUAGUGAUGGCAGAUGGCAGAUGAAAUAAAAACUUAUCUUUCUUUUGGAUUUGGUGGUCUGUAGCUUUUGAUAAAGCUUCCUGCACGUUGCAUGCCACUAUCACAAAGGAAAAUGGGUCCAUUUCACGUCUGUAAGCUUUUGAUAAAGCUUCAUGCACGUCUGUAAGUGUCCAUUUCAAGAAUAAUGGGUCCAUUUUUUAGAGCAUGCUCUUUUGCAGAUUUGCAUGCCUGCUUUACAACAAACACAUCCCUAACUUUUCCAUGUGGGUGGUCGACAAAAGCCAUCCAUGUGAGUGGUUGAUUAAACCCUUUAGACUCACCAUUUCCGAUGGCAUCACCACCCAAUUUCACAUCUGCCUGUCAAGAUCAGUGUGUGUAAGAGCAACAUGAUCAUUUCACACGAUACUGUUACCAAGAGCAGAUAGCCUCUCUUCAAUACGCUGAACAACAACGUUAUCAGGUAAGUUGUUCCUCAAGUGCUGAAGUUAUUGGUCGGUGGUAGUGUGAGGCAAAAGAAGCCCGUUUUUGUUUCCAACACAAAGGCGACCUAUAAUGCAAGUGUCGCCAAUGGAGGUUUUCACGACGGGAUGACAUCAACCAACUCUGGAUACACCAGCAGGUUUCACCCUGAACUGCGGAUCAGUUACGCUAAACAGCAAAUGUUUAAAAGCAUAUUUAGGGUUUCCAGGCUCGUCCUUGUAAGCAUCAACAAUUGCUUGAUAUAUUGCGAUCGGCGAGAGAGAAAGGGAAAGUAGCGACAUGAGCCAUCUAAGUCGUCAAUUGAGAAUUAGGAAAGGGCGUCGGCUGCUGCGGCAUAGAAAACGGAGCCUGAAACCCAAAGCAUCCAGCAGACUGAGGUUGCUGAAACGACAGCAUUUGCUACUGUUGUUGUUGUUGUUGAGUUUGAGAAGAGAACGGAGAGUUCAAUAAGGAGCCGCCGAAACCACCGGCGGAAAAUGCAAACGUCGACGGAGUUCCAAAGGCCAAGGUCAAAUGAGUAAAGAACGAUGGGGUCAAAGAUGGCAUCCCGAAUGCCGGGGUCGACGACGGCGUCCCAAAGGCUAGGGUCGACGACAGCGUGCCGAACGCUGGGGUUGACGACGGCGUCCCGAAGGGGGACGAUGAAGAUUGAGCUCCAAACACUAUCACCGCUGUGACUGAUCUCACUCGAUGUUGAAUGUAGAAAGCGAGAGUGGUGUAGCUUAGCUGUUCGAUGUUUUGUCUAUGCCUGCUUUUGGUUUUCUUGGGGUUCUCCAAAGUUUUGGAUUUUUGGGUUUCUUAAAACGUAGGAACUCAUGCUUGAGAAGCUUGACAUGGUGAUCUUCCCAACGCUUAAAGGAAUGUUCAUCUACCUUGAAAAAGUGGGGAGUUGCUUUCCUGAAGGAUUGCAUUUCAUCAAGAUGCGAUUUUCCCAGUGUUGCUACUAGUGCCUUCUUAUCAACUCCAAGUCUUGAGAAAGCCUUGGUGAGAGUUUGCAACUCAGAGUAAGAGCCAUCGUUUGUGUUGAUUCUGUUGGUGUUUGGUUCUUGGGUUUCUGCAGAUUCACGGUGGUGAGAUGAAAAAAUGAAAGAGAACCGACAUGAUUUUUUGUGUCAUUUCCCACAGACGGCGCCAAAUGUUGAUGCAUAAAACCGGAGAGGUCUUGGAACAACAUAGAUCCGACCAUGAAUCUACAAGAAAGUAAAAAACACAAGAUGUAUCGUGGUUCAUCCCAAUGUUUGGGCUACAUUCACACUGAUGUUGAUCGUAUUUCUUUGUAACUGUAUGUAUGGAUUACAAGUGUAAGGGGGAGUCCCCUAGAAAAAGAGAGAGUUUAAGAGAGUUUCCCUGUUUGUGAGAGGGUUGCUAGAUGUGAGGCCUCUAUUUGGGGAUGUGAGGCCUUAGGAUUGUGAGGGUGAGGAGUCCCUUUUAUAGACUAAGGGCUCCUCCCCUUUUACAUAAAUCAUGGGCUUAAUGUUUGGAAGCCCAAGUAACGAGGCCCAAUAUAAUAUGGUACCAACACAUUUCAAUCAUUCAUUACAAGCAAAAUUGUAAUACUAAAAUAAUUUUAAAUUCAUAUCUCGAUCAGGUGUAAUGAGAAUUGACAUUUGGAAGAGAUUGUUGCACCUUUUUCCCUUACUGCACAUCAUAUAUGGAGGGAGGUGGAUUGUCUGCCCCUUCCGUUUCCAUAUUUUUCUCAUCCCCUCUUAUUUUAUGUGGUCACGGUUAAGUCACGUCACAUUUUAUUAUUCCUAUUAUUUUUUGUUUUAUUAUAAAAAAAAUCAAUUUAAAAUAUUGAUGUGACUUAACCGUGACCACACAAACAGAAAGGAAUGGCAAGAGUAUGGAAAUUGAAGGGCAGACAAUCCACCUCCUAUAUGGAGAGUGAAGUUCAUAUUAAAAAAAUUAUUAAAGUACUGUGAAUGCGCUUAUUGUUUGAAAAAAAUUGUUCUUACGAGAUGUUUUUAAUAGGGUUGUUUUGUAUACACCCCAUAUUUUGUUGACUACAUCUCCUAUACUUAAUGCACACCACAUUUAUUUUUUAGAUUAAAAUUUAUCUUAAUACACCUCACAUACUUUCCAAUACUACCCUUACACCCGCACUCUUUGUGAAAUUUAAGAUUUCUUUUUAUGUUCUCUAUUCAGUUUUUUGCUCAUUUAGUUUUGUCCACUUGAGGGGUUAGUCUUCCAUCAAUUUCUGCACAUUUAGUUAUGUUUAUAGAUUUUUAUAUCAUUUUUUUAUGAAAAUCUGACUUUCAUUAACAUAAGGAAUCAACAAACAGUACAAGAGGAGAGAGCCAACUAGGCUCCUCUUCAAUCCCAUAUUUAAAAUCAUCAGCACGAACUGCAUACUGAGCUAGUUCAUGAGUCACAACAAGCUCUGUACUACCAUUGACAAAAAAAAAAUUGAAACUUUUUCCCAACAUUUAUAUAUUCUCCAUGGUACAACCUGAAGGAAAUUUUGUGAAAAACAUGUUCAUUUAAGCAACAUCUAUUAGCAUGCAAUUAACAAUUAAAGGCGGAAUCAUGCUUGUAUGCACUUAAAAACAAAACAUUAGCCAUGAAAUUCAAAGCCUAGUAGUUAGGUGAACCAAGACUCAACUCAAAAUAAAGUGAGUUGAGAAAUUUAUACCUUUGUUGAUUCCUCUUUGCAUAAGCAAAGGAUAAUCACCCGAGGGAUAGGGCCUUCAUUCCUUGCUUCUUAGAUCCAUGGAUUUGGAUGGAAGAAUUGGUUUCUCCAAGUUCUCAAAAUUGAGAACCUCUAAGUCUCCACACCAAGGAAAGAUUGAUGAAGAAAUGAGUGACCUUGGAGGAGAAAGAUUACUAGCUAAUCCCCUCCAAGGGGGCCGGCCUCUUAGAGAGAAAAGGGAGAGAUAUGUUCUCUCCAAUUCUCUAAAAGAAACCCUUAAUGAAUUUUGGCUAUAAAGUCAUAUUUAUACCUUUAUUCAUUGGAGUGGCAAACUAGUAAUUAAAGCAAAUUCACUACCCUCCCUCUAAAUGGUCGGCCAUAGGGUUUCAUUGGGCUUUUAAGGCCUUUGUGAAUUAUUUUUCAUUAAGUUGUCAUACAACUUAAGUCAAUGGGCUUGACGUUCGAAGCCCAUUGGGCCUUAAGGCCCAAAACUAACCCGUGGUCUUUUAACGAACUUUAUUCGUUUGAUUAAUUAACAUAUUAAUUAAUCCUUACCAUAAAUAAUUAAAUCAUUUAAUUAUUCUUACUCAUCUCCAUUGUUUCUUCAAUCUCUACCUUACACGGUGUACGAUCCAUUAGGUUCCUUUUAGCGAGGCAGUGGGCGAUUAGAACACUUUCAAAUCGAUUGUGAAUUGAAACUUACUUUCAAUUCUCCCUUUAGUGAUUAUACACAUUUAGGGCUUCCAAAAAUCAUGAGUGACACCUAGCAGUAUGUCAUGGUUACCCAAGCUAAUCAGAAGAGGUGGAGAACCUAUUUAGUUUAGAAUUACAAUGCAAUACAGUCUUUCUCUAAUACAAUACUCUUGACCACAUUGUUUGGUUUGAUAGUUUAUUCAUGUCGACUAUCCAAUGUGAUUCAUUCACUUAUAUGAUUACCUUGAAUGUGAUUUGGAAUGACUUCCUAAAUCUCAUUCAUACUCUGGCCAGAGAUUCUUAAUCAUAUCAUAGAGUAUUCUCCCUCAAACGGUUUGAAGGUUAGAGAUCCCUUGUUGCGCAUUUACUUGCCUCCAUGGCUAAGUGGCUUAACCCCAACUAUGCCGUGGACACCCGCGAAUGGAGUGACUUUGACAUAAUCAAAGAUCAAUGACCUAACCAUAAGACAACUAUGAUGCCUCAGGUCAAAUAACUACUUUGCAUUAUCCCAACCAUGAGUUCUCAUGUGACAUGAGUAUGAGAACUCCUCGUUGAUCGUGUUCAGUGGACUCAUUCGCUAUUAAGCACCUACAUGAUUGUCUUGGUGUCACUUACACCAAUGACUCGAGACUAGUCACUCUUCCUAAGAGAAGACAUAGCAUGUACUGAUCUUAACGGACUGUCAAUGCCCAAUUGGCAAUCCUAUGAUCAGGAACGUUUAGGAUAUGUAUACGAAAGAGAAUGGUCUCAUGAAUCUAACUUGUUUAAAUUACAUUCUCCUAAUUACAUAUUCCUUGGACUUAUCGUUUAAGCAUAUAACAUUUAUAUGAGACGGCUUAAAACAAUAAUCUUUGCCCUUGAUAUUAAACUAGAUUAGUUUAACAUGUGAAAUGUCCGUAAAGUAUCAUCAUAUGAUUGGUUUUAGGGCACAUUUCCAACAAUCUCCCACUUUCACUAGAGCCAAUCAGCUUGGUCAUCAGUGAUGAUACCUCUUCUGUAGUCAUUUCAUAAAUGGCUGAGUAAUAGGCCUAGACAAUGGAUAUCUAUAUGUUAUCCAUAGAAGCAACCUUGAGAAUAACGACGUCACCUAUUAUACAUGAUUCUUAAUCAUGUGGUUUAGUCUCUCAUUUGAGUUCAGAUCUUGAUGAGACCUUGAUUCCCUGGCUUGAGCUAUCGCCCCAUUAGUGUCGUAGUGUCGAUACACUAGAGACACUUUCUGGUUGGAACCGAAUAGAGAGUUCAUAAAUGAAAUUUCUCAUCCAAACAACAUUGUUGUAAGCUUCUAUAUGGCAAUAUAUUUUGCAUUCAUAAUGGAACAUACUAAAGUCAUUACUUUUAAUGUUUCCAUCCAUAUAUCUCUUUAGUCAUAAUAAAGAGAUAUCUGAUUAUCUCUUCAUUCAUAAUGAAGAAACAUCCAAUGAUGGAUUAGAUUCAUAAUCUAAUACAUUUACGCUUCCAUUUACGUUACUCUAAUUCUUCCUCAUUCUUUUGAGGAAUCUAUCCUUUAGUAUUUCUUAAAUACUUAAGGACUUCACUUGACAGUUGUCAUGGUUCUGAUCCUGGGCUUGCAUUGAUAUUGUCUUGUACCGUUCUAGGUACAAUUCAUAUCAACGUUUUUCAUACAAUAUGAAAUACGUAAAUCACCUUUCUGCGUAUGCAUAAAGGAUUCUAUUUACGCAUUAUUUCUUUGGGAGUCAAAGGGUACGUUCCUUUUGAGAAGGGCAACUUGUUAGUCUCACUAGAGUCGUCCUUCUAAUUGAAGUUUAUCAUCAUAUGAGAAACUUCCUAGCAUCUUUUGUCUAUUAUUAGGGAUUGAUAUAAUCCAAUUAUAUCUUGAAAUCUAUCAUUAUAGAUUUACAUCCCAUGUUUAUAGACUAUGUCUCCCAUAUACAUUCUAUCCUUUAUAGAAUGUUUAAAGUCAUAACUUUAAUGAAGAAGUAUUCUUUUCAUUUCCAAAAUUAAUAUAUCACAUAUGUGUGUAUAUAUAUAUAUAUAUAUAUAUAUAUAUAUAUAAAUUUAGGAACAUGAUUAACUCCCACUAAUCUUUUGUAAACCUAGUAAACAAAAGAUUCAUUUACAUCUUUAUGAGAAAUCAAACAAUUUGAUCUUUCUCUCAUAAGACGCUUAUAGCUCCCACUAGUUUGCUAAGAUCCAUGAUGGAUGGAUCUCUACAACUUACAUGUCUUGUGAUUCAUAGUUUUAGACAUAUAUUAUCAAGACUAUCUUAAUAAUGGUUUCAGAAACCCACAUAAUGUCCAAACAUUGAAUCACCAUUUAGUUGUAGCUAGCAAUCUUCGAAUUAAUUGAAACCAAGACUGCGUCAAAGAUGGUUUCUUCAAAGUCAACCAAUUUCUUUGAUUGUAGUCAUUUUAAGCUACCAAUUAGCUAUUAAAGGUUUCACUAUUUCAGGUCAAAUGGUACUUUACCAUUUCCUUAAGUAUAUGUCGUAUAUACACUCAAUGUAGUCAUAAGGAUUUUCAUUCUUAUUUCUUUCGAAUUAAGAGGUGUAACUCUAUGACAUAGUCAUAAAGUUCAAACCAUUCAACUGAGACAGUUUAUAAAUCCUUCUCGACUACCUUGGAGCUUGUGGUAUAGGAACUAGGUUGUUAUAUUUGUUGAUUAUCAUCUUGUCUCUCAAAGAACCCAUUCUUUGAGUUCUAUCUCUCGUUCAUUGCUCUAUCUUAGGCAAAUCAUAUUGUAGGAUUACAAUGAACUACCCAACAAAACAACAUUUGUUAGUUGGUUUAUAGAAGUGAUAUCCAAAGGUUAAUUUAAGGAUAUCCAUAAGAUAAUUCUCAAACAAAUAUUGCUUAUUAGCACACAACCCCUAAUCUUAACAUGAUUAAGAUUUGUCUUUCUUUCCAACUGCAUCCUAUGGAGUCAUGAAAAUUUUAGAAAAUCUUCUAAUUGACAAUCAUAUUGUCUUAGAAGUAUAUAUCCUAUAUAUAUGGGUAAUUGAUAACAUCUUAGAAGUAUAAAUCUUAUUCGAGUUCGUUCUUCUCUUAAUGGAGAAAUCCAUUAUCAUAUGAUGCUUCUUUCCUUGAUAUCUUUCAAGGAAACUGUUCUAAAGUGUUACCUUAUCUUGGAUCAAAUCUAAGGAGGUAAAUACUUUAGACGUCUUACUCAUCAACUUACAUUUCUUGAAUUCUUUGAAACCUUUUGCAAAGUAUUCGGACUUGUGUUUAUUCAAAAGAAACUAUAGUCCAACCGAGAGUGAUCUUCGGUGAAUGUCAUACAACAUGAGUAGUAUUAUGUUGUGGACAAGUGUCACUAACAUCCAAGUGAAUUAACCUCAACAACUUUGUGAUUCUUUAUUCUUUCCAAAAGAAUAAAGAUUCGAACAUUUCAUCUCUAUACAAUUUUAACAAGAAGGCAUUGGAUCCGGAUCUAACGAUCCAAAGUAUCCAUCUAUGACCAACUCGUAAUUUAUGUUUUAAAGGUAUCACAACUCAGUUGGGAUUAGUCACUACCUUGCAACCUUUUGGGUUUUAAGCAUCGUUAUAUUAUAAACAGUUAACACUACCAUAUCAUCUCUACUAUAGAGAUAAUUAAUUAGAUUACAAUAAUCUAAUCAUUCAUUAAUAAAGAACAAUGUUUUGUCAAAUAAAACAUUUAUCCAUUUAACAUACGGAAUUAAGUUCCUUUAUUCAAUUGGAAUGUAAAGACAAUCUUUGUUUUUUUUUCAUUUUCUUUGGUAGUUCAUAUGAGGAAGUAAGUAUUAUCUGCUUUCGCAGAGAUCUACAUUUAAUUCACGUUUCGAAUGUGAAGUACUUUCUCUUCUCUCAUUAAUCUUCUACUUCUUAUUAGCCACACUUUUACAACGAUUGUAAAACAUAGUUACUAAUACGGAAUCAAGCAUUCAAGUAGAAGAACCAACUGUUUUGAACUUUUCAAGAAGAAUUUACAACACUUUCGAAAGGUGUGUUCUUGACAUUUGCAAGACAUUUCUUGCAAAUACCCCUUCCAAUGUCCAUCCUUUCAUAAAGAAAGUUUGUUCCCUUGGAGUUAUUUCGACUUCUUCAUUUGACUUCUCCUUUGACUACAAUAGUCAUGGUCCCUAAACUCCCACUGUCUCUCUUGAAACUUAUUUCAAUUGUGUUAUACACAUCAAAUGAUUUGGAGAGCAAGUGGUUAUUGUUCACUAUAUAGUUUACAAUAAACUUAGUGAACCAUUUGGAUAGGUACACAAAUGUGAAGUCCUUGCCUAGUUUCCGUCACUAGAAGUGGUUUUAACACUUCAACACUUAAUGAUUCAAAAUCAUUAUAAGUCCAUGUUGAUGGACUAUUUUUGUCAACCAACCAUUAUGUUCUAAACAUAAUUACAAACUUUCAAGAGUUGUUCAAGGCAACUCUCAUUUCUUCAUACAACAAUUUGUAAGUGAAAAAUUAUGGCACAUAAAGUGUCCAUGCCUUUUUGCUUUCUUCUUAAGUUCCUUGUUCAUGUAACAAAGAAACAAGCACUAAUGUUUGCGUUAGUUAAGGGUUGUUCAAAGCAACUCUUAUUUCUUCAUACAACGAUUUGUAAUUGAAGAAUUAUGACUUUAAAAGUGUUGUCCUCUUUAUGAUAGACUUAUCUAACAUGUUCUUCCAAUGGUACAUUAUCAUUAGGAAGAUUGUGAGGAUAAGACUACUUAAAUACAUAUACAAUCCAUUUAAGACAAUCUUUGGGAUUGUUGUACCAAGUCCGGAAACUAAAGCAUUCGGCUUUUCUUUGUCAAGUUUUGGAUAGCGUUUGCAAAUAUAUUGGUAAACAAAUACAUAACGAAUAUAAAUUGAUUGAUUUUAAGCCAUUUGAUUCGGGGUCUUUAAAUCAAAUAGCACCACCCACUAUUUUUGGCAAAUUCCAUAUCCCUCAUUGGAAUUCGAGAGUUUUGGAGGAAACUCUUAGUAGGGUAUGGGAGACUCACUAUUACCAAGCCCACCUCACAAUGAUAUGAUGUUGGCUAGCAUUAAUAAUAAUGAGAGAGUACGCUUACUCAUUUUCAUCUCAUGCAAGUACCCAUCUUAUUUGGCCUCUAGAGAAUGUAGUCUCACAAUGAUAUAAUGUUGGUUCCAUUGCACUUAAUUAAGUUAUUCCCACCAUGCAAGUUCGGGUAGGGGUUCAAGAACAACCUCACAAUGAUAUGAUGUUGAUCAUUCUCGUUGCCUACCUUCACAACAUCAUAAAUGCAUAUAGAACUCCUCCUGAGUAUAAGCACGCACUUUGUACUCCCCCAUGAUAGGAUGAAGCCGGUGUACGAGUCACAAACGAUCGGAGCCUACCACGGUGGAAGGCCACGAAAGAGUGUUCAAAGCACUCUCACGCUUAUCAACUUAAUAAUGGUUUGGUUGAGGGUUUUAGGUCUCAUCACAUAUAAACAUACAUUUUAAUCUUAUUAAAACAAUUUGGUCCUAUUACAACUAUUGGUCCAUGUGAUUGUUUUUAGUUGUAUAUAAUACUCCCACUAUGCUUAUAAAACGGUUUUUAAAGCAAGAGUAUAUGAUACUACUAACAUAAGGUUUGCAUUCAUUGAUGGACUAUAUAGUUGCCUUAGGGCCUUAGGAUGACUAUGAACCUUUGAUUAGAUCCAACACGAGCCUAGUGUUGAAUCUCGGUCUAGAGAUGGUGAUUGAUUUUAGUUAUGCGUUUAAUCAUAUUAAGGCGUGUUUCUUAUUGGGCGUUGGACCCAACUACUCCAAUUUCAUGCAUAUCAAAUAAAGCAAGAAAGGAGUACUUUAAAGUAAAGAAGAGCUUAUGCUCUCUUACAACAAUUGAUCGUAUCAAAUUACAACCAAAAUCUAAUCUACACAUUCCCAUGGUUCAAACAAAUUUGAGACGGCCUUUCACAUAGCUCAAUUAUCGUAGGCUUAGGUUCAUAAUCACCCUUUCUUUAAUUAAUUAACGCUUUAACUAAUUAAACUUGAAUGCAACAUUUUCAUUUGGUUUUUGUAUCCAUAGAAUUGAUUUAAAUGGAGCUAAAUGAAAUGAAAAUCCAAUUCUCAUUUAAAGAGACAAAACCAUUUUGUUCUCAACCUAAUUUGGGCCAAAAUGCAAUAACCUCAACUUUUUGGGCUAUGUUGCAAAAACUCAAACUUUUGAGGUCACUUUGUAAAAACACAAAAGUCCACUACUUCAUGUAAUUACAACUAGAACCCAAAAAUUUCAACAAAUUCAAAAACUUCAUUAAAGGAACAAAACAAUUUGUCUUUUAAUGAUUUUGGGCCUUUAACGUAAAAACGUAAACUUUUGGGUCAAAGUACAAAUACACAAAAGUACCAAAACUUUAUGUAAUUGCAUAAAAGCCCCAAAAGCACCCCACUUGUAAGGUGGCCGGUUUUGAAGAGAUUGAAGCCACAAAAUUUUGAAAAUUUUUCAACAAAGUCAUAAAGCCAUGCAAGUGGAAAUAGGUUGGUGUGAAUAAAACCAUGCAAGUGGUGUGUGUGUAAGAGAAGUACUUCUUACACACCCAUCACCAUUUCUAUCACCUUGCAAAAUUUCAAUAAAUGUUUUGUUGAUAGAUAAGUCACACCCACCAACACAAAACAAAGACUUUAUGAAAUCAUCCAAAACUUUGAAUCAAAACACCAAACCUUUUUGUUCUUGGUAAGAACUUCAAGAACAAUGAAGAACAUCCAUGAAAACCCAUAAGAGUUCCAUGAACAUUUUUCAAGCCAAUAAAACAUCCAAAUUUUCACUUCUCAAAAUGGGGUAUAACCAUCUAGGGUACUUAGGGGUUCCAAAAGUCACCUAAAACACUUUUAAUAAGACAAACAUGAACCCAAAAAAUCACCCUUUGGAUUUGGUCGAAAAUCCCCAAAACCAUGGCACCAAAUUUUAGCUCCAAAAUUCAUGCUCAUAUGAAAUACAUCUACAACAUUUGAGAUGGCAAAUUUUCUAGCAAAAUUUACAUUCAAAGAAGCAAGAAUAAAGCUUGUAACAAUUACAACAUUCAAAUCAAAGACUAUGAACUACAAAACCCAAAAUGAUUCACCAACUACUAGACCUAGGCUCUGAUACCACUUGAAGGAAAUUUUGUGAAAAACAUGUUCAUUUAAGCAACAUCUAUUAGCAUGCAAUUAACAAUUAAAUGCGGAAUCAUGCUUGUAUGCACUUAAAAACAAAACAUUAGCCAUGAAAUUCAAAGCCUAGUAGUUAGGUGAACCAAGACUCAACUCAAAAUAAAGUGAGUUGAGAAAUUUAUACCUUUGUUGAUUCCUCUUUGCAUAAGCAAAGGAUAAUCACCCAAGAGAUAGGGCCUUCAUUCCUUGCUUCUUAUAUCCAUGGAUUUGGAUGGAAGAAUUGGUUUCUCCAAGUUCUCAAAAUUGAGAACAUCUAAGUCUCCACACCAAGGAAAGAUUGAUGAAGAAAUGAGUGACCUUGGAGGAGAAAGAUUACUAGCUAAUCCCCUCCAAGGGGGCCGGCCUCUUAGAGAGAAAAGGGAGAGAUAUGUUCUCUCCAAUUUCUCUAAAAGAAACCCUUAAUGAAUUUUGGCUAUAAAGUCAUAUUUAUACCUUUAUUCAUUGGAGUGGCAAACUAGUAAUUAAAGAAAAUUCACUAUCCUUCCUCUAAAUGGUCGGCCAUAGGGUUUCAUUGGGCUUUUAAGGCCUUUGUGAAUUAUUUGUCAUUAAGUUGUCAUACAACUUAAGUCAAUGGGCUUGACGUUCGAAGCCCAUUGGGCCUUAAGGCCCAAAACUAACCCGUGGUCUUUUAACGAACUUUAUUCGUUUGAUUAAUUAACAUAUUAAUUAAUCCUUGCCAUAAAUAAUUAAACCAUUUAAUUAUUCUUACUCAUCUCCAUUGUUUCUUCAAUCUCUACCUUACACGGUGUACGAUCCAUUAGGUUCCUUUUAGCGAGGCAGUGGGCGAUUAGAACACUUUCAAAUCGAUUCUGAAUUGAAACUUACUUUCAAUUCUCCCUUUAGUGAUUAUACACGUUUAGGACUUCCACAAACCAUGAGUGACACCUAGCAUUAUAUCAUGGUUACAACAACAACAACAACAACAAAGCCUUUUCCCACUAAGUGGGGUCGGCUAUAUGAAUCCCACUUAGUGGGAAAAGGCUUUGUUGUUGUUGUUGUUGUUGUAACCAUGAUAUAAUGCUAGGUGUCACUCAUGGUUACCCAAGCUAAUCAGAAGAGGUGGAGAACCUAUUCAGUUUAGGAUUACAAUGCAAUACGGUCUUUCUCUAAUACAAUACUCUUGACCACAUUGUUUGGUUUGAUAGUUUAUUCAUGUCAACUAUCCAAUGUGAUUCAUUUACUUAUAUGAUUACCUUGAAUGUAAUUUGGAAUGACUUCCUAAAUCUCAUUCAUACUCUGGCUAAAGAUUCUUAAUCAUAUCAUAGAGUAUUCUCCCUCAAACGGUUUGAAGGUUAGAGAUCCCUUGUUGUGCAUUUAAUUGCCUCCAUGGCUAAGUGGCUUAACCCCAACUAUGCCGUGGACACCCGCGAAUGGAGUGACUUUGACAUAAUCAAAGAUCAAGGACCUAACCACAAGACAACUAUGAUGCCUCAGGUCAAAUAACUACUUUGCAUUAUCCCAACCAUGAGUUCUCAUGUGACAUGAGUAUAAGAACUCCUCGUUGAUCGUGUUCAGUGGACUCAUUCGCUAUUAAGCACCUACAUGCUUGUCUUGGUGUCACUUACACCAAUGACUCGAGACUAGUCACUCUCUCUAAGAGAAGACAUAGCAUGUACUGAUCUUAACGGACUGUCAAUGCCCAAUUGGCAAUCCUAUGAUCAGGAACGUUUAGCAUAUGUAUACGAAAGAGAAUGGUCUCAUGAAUCUAACUUGUUUAAAUUACAUUCUCCUAAUUACAUAUUCCGUGGACUUAUCGUUUAAGCAUAUAACAUUUAUAUGAGACGGCUUAAAACAAUAAUCUUUGCCCUUGAUAUUAAACUAGAUUAGUUUAACAUGUGAAAUGUCCGUAAAGUAUCAUCAUAUGAUUGGUUUUAUGGCACAUUUCCAACACAACCCUCUAGACCCAGACAAUCCUCCAUAGAUGUAAUAUCAGUCACCACCACUCCCUUCGCGUUGAGCUCAAGAACAAUAUCUCUAAGACCUAAAUUAAAAGCAAACAUCAAACAUUCCUUUUCUAUAGACAUUUCAGCGGGUUUAACUGAACGACACUCCUACAUUGGUUUUUAUUCGAAUUAUUGUGAAAGUAUUACUUUUUAAAGCUGAAAUUUAUUUUAUUUUUUAUUUUUUUGUUUGUGAAUGUUCUGCGGUAGGUUUUGACAUACCUCCUAACGUCGUCGCUCAAUGCAUCACCAUUGACUUCUUAAGAGAUCCUCUUGUCCCAUAAUUCAUAUAGUUUGGUGUCGUCGUCGAUCUCAAGCUUCUUCUGGCACCUAAUGGUGGGAUUCACAAUGUUAAACUUCAUGUUUGCUCUGCCACCGGCAGGUGGGUGAGAGAAAUGCUCCACUUACUAAACCACUCGAAUUCAACGAGCUCCUGGGAGCUUGUUUCUUGAAAUUUAUUGGCUCAACUAAUUUGAUUGUUCUACUUCAACUAAUUUGGUUUUCGUGGGCUAGAUAGUCAUUUCAUAUAAAAGUAUAUGUCAUUUAAUAAUAAAUUUUUAUGUGGGUGUAUUCAAUAAUAUAUGAGGUGCUAAUAAAAAUACCCUUUUUAAUAUUAUUUUCUUACAAGAGGUCUUUUCCCAUACAAAAAAUAGCAAUAUACUAUGAAUUAAAAAAAACAAAAAUCUUCUUGACCCCACUAAAAAACAAAAUUCCUACAUCCCGAUCCCAUAUUUAAAUAAGGACAGUUGGUUUUGUUUAUAGGUUUGGCAAGUGUGGUAAUUGGGUUGGGGCCGAGGCGUGUUCGGAUGUUUUUUCGCGGGAAUUUGAAUGAUUUCUAGUUCGUUAAAUUGAAUUUAAAUAGUAAUAUUUUUAAUUUCUGGGAAUUAUGCAUAGGUAACAGGCUUGGUUACUUUUCGUUAGGGGCAAUUUUGGAAAAAAAAAUAUUUCUAUGGCCUGGUAUAUGAAUAGUUUUGUUAAAUAAUAGUUUAUGGUGGUUUUAAAAAAAUAAAUAAAAUUAUAGUUAGCCCAAAUCCUUUUCAUUAAAGUUCUCAAGAUUUUAUCGUUAACGUUUGUAAGUGCUAAGAGGGCAAAAUGUGAAUUAGAGUAAAAUGUGAGGGCAAAUUUGAGAUAACACUGUUUAAGUAACAGUGUUUUAGUUGAAAAUGAGUUUUAGAUUAUACACACACUAGUAUAUAUGCCCACACACAAAGGGCGUUAAAUUUUUUUCCUUUUGUUUUUAAAAUUGAAGGAGAGAGGAAGAGAGAGAAAGAACGUGGGUGUGGAGAGAGAGGGAGAGAGGUUUUUAUUUUUUUAUUUUUUAUUUUUUUUAAAUAGAGAUGAUAAAAUGACAUGUAGUUGAGGUUUAGAAAAAAAUAGCAAAAUGUUAUGUGAAAUUAAGUUACUAUCCUUAAUUUGUUUGUUGUGAUAAAAGUCAAAAAUGUCUUUUCACCUUCUUUUAGUUGACUAAGAGAAUUUCAUUAAAUGUAGCUUAGAUAUUAAAAAAUUAAUUUUAUUAUUAUUUUGCAGAAGGAAUGAAAUAGAUAAAAUAUUUAAUUAGUAAAUGGGCAUGCCAAUCAUUUAAAUUUUUCACAAGCGUGCGUUUCCUUUAACUACUUAUCAUUACAAAUGGUUAUAAAUGACAGAAAAAUUAAAAACAGAGAAAGAACCCAACUCAUAUAAAUCGAGCUCUCAAUCGAUUACCAACAAAAUCGAAGGGGAGACUGCUAAUAUAUAUCACACUUGUAAGUCCUACUUCUCUUCUCUGCUUGUUCUACAGUACCUAUAUAAUGUUGUUGUUUACAAUCGCACAAAAACAAUUUUGUACAUAAUAUAUGAGAAGGUUGUUAUAAAUAUUAUCUAAUUGUAAUUGUGUAAAUCUUAGAAAGAUUUGGAUUCUAGAUAUCUGUUAUUCUAGUGAUUGUUUCUCAUUGUGAGGACAAGUUAAUUCUUCUUGUUUUACUAUAAAUAAAGGCACUGACAUAAGGAGAAUUACACAACUCUAAGCAUUCUACAGUUUCUCCACUAAUGCACCCUCUCUCUCAGAUAAACUAGGCCACAACAAAGGUUUAUUUAUUUUUCUACACUUAAAGUUUUAACGUACGUGAUGGAAAAUACUGGCCUUUUGGGUUGUCGGAGGGAGCCAAAUUACUUUGUAUGCGAUGCUUGCAAUUCAUAUAUUACAAGAUGGGUAUGUAUGUGUGUACUUUAACAUUUUUCUCAUCCAUAUUGUAAUCUUUGUAUUUAACAUUUCUUUUUCCCGCAGGAUAAUGUGGCGGAACUUAAGUUUUGGGGUUUUAAAUAUUGUAAAACACAUGAAUCUGAUGGUGUUGUACUUGCGACAUAUUUCAGGUCUGUACAUAAACAAUUAUUUUUGGAUUCAAGGUUUGCUUUACUAUUCCCAUCGUGUCUCUAGGUAUAUAUGGUCAUGAUAUAUAUUUUACUUUGACAGGCCGAAGGUAUCAAGGAGUCUGUGAACUUUGGAGAUAACCGAAGGCUUUGCUCGGAUUGUUUUUCUACUGCCAUCUUGCAUCCAAGUUGUUGAUGCACAAAAUCAAUGAAGACUUUGAAAUAACUUAAAGUAUCAAGUUUGUGACCUUUGCUCGGUUGCUCCAAUCACUAGUGAGGAUAAAUAUGUAAAGAGAUAGAGAUAGGGAAGCAAGCACAAGAUGUACGUGGUUCACCCUAAGUUUGGCUACAUCCACGAAGUAGAGGAAUUCUCAUUAAUAGUGAAGGAUUUACACAAAUACAUAGGUUCAAGCAUAAUCAUCAUUAGUGAGUUCUAAUGACUAGUUUAAAUACAAUAAUGGUAUUAGGGAUUAAUUGUAGGAGAAUGACCUCAUUUUAUAGUUGAGGAUAGUCUUUAGCUUUUGUCUGCGGUCAGUGUGGGACUUUAUGAGUUUUAUUCUGACGUUGCCAUGUGCCAUGCUGUGAUUGGCCUCCUGGUUGGAGGGAAACUCUUGUGCUUCGGCAAGGUUGCCUCAACAUGAAUUCCUCAAUGGAUCCUUGAAUGUAUAACGUUGACCGGUGCUCAGUAGUUUUAGGAUUGGUUAAGUAUGGUACAAACACAAGUAAUGCAAACGUCUUAGUGAACUAAAAUAUCAGGGGGUGUUAGUGUUAUGUUCCAAAUUGGAAGGGGUUUUGUGAAAUCACGAUAAACCUAAGAGGGUGAGAGUAAUUAACUCAUAUAACUAUUCAACCCACUAACGAUAUCAUUUUACUAUAAAAGCAAUUAAAUAAUCCAUUCAAAAGACGGUAAUAUGCCAAGGGAUUUAUUUCGUUUCAUUUUAAUGGCUUUGGUAUAUCUAACUAAUUGCCUGUUUGCAGGCGCUUGGUCUUACCACACACAUUCCCUAUGCUGUCGAGAUGGUAAGAGUCCACUCGUUGCACUAGAUAAAGAGUUAGUUAAAGAUGUAAAGUCAUACUUUUUUUUUAGUUUAUCAACAGUAUUUAGUCAUUCUUAUUUGAACUAAGUCGUGUAAAUAAGUAAGCCACAAUAAUUUGAUGUUGAUCUCUUCAAGAAUUGGACUUAAGAGUCUAAAAGACUCCCACUUAUGAAAGAAAAAAAGAAUAUGACUAAUGUGUAGUGCAAGUGACAUUUGCAAAUAUAUUUAGUUAUAUAUGGGUGGGUAGCGUAUAUGUUCGGUUUGUAACAGAUAUCAAGUUGCUCAAGAAAUGGGAACAACAUUGAAAUGGAAAAAGAAGUCAACAAGUUGGUCAUGCUCAAAGUGACAUCAAUUUUACUUUUGUUUGGACAACCAGAGUAUGUACUUUUUCUCAAAUACCUUUUGUCAUGUAUAUAUCUUUUUAGCUCACAUAUAUGCAUGUCUUAGGGAGAGAGGAAAUGAAUAUUUUACGUGUUUACCUCAGAAAAUUUCUCUAUAACCUUUAUCAUUUGAUGAAAGCAUAAUUUAGGGCAUGUUAUAUACAACGUACUCAUAUUGUUCAUAUGCAUGCUAUAUAUAUUUUCCAUGCAAAUUAUACAGAAAAACAAUCUUCAUACAAAAUAUUCCCAAUGGCUUACGAAAAAAUAAUUGUAAAAAAAAUAGUAUAUAUACUACAUGUAUAUUAAUGCUAUACCUCCUGGAGGGGACUGGGGUCAGAGGCAGAGACAAGGAAGGUUGCGAAUGCCAAGAUGGCAACAAUGCAUACGAGCACCUUUCAUGGCUAAUUAGGGUUUAACUUAACUUAAGAUGCCUCAAAACUUGUAUUAAUUUGUAGAGGGCGGAAUGAAAAUCCUGUAUGGUGCAUAGGCCUAUUUAUAGAUCGGAAGGAAUGACUUGGUCUUGGAUAUACUUUCACUGUCGAAGCAGGUAAACCCCAGAAUAUUAAUAUCCAGAAGCAGGUUAAGACUUGGUUUGAUGAAAUAUUUUAGUUCGUAUUGACCAAAAUUUCUUUCCCUUAUCCAUACAUGGUUCGAUUUCUUAUACCCACAUAAUCUUUUUGAGAAAAUUAAUAUCAAAAUUUUGACAGUGUAAAAUUUUAAAGAACACUAAGUCGUCUAAUGAUCUUUUUAUGUAAAUAUGGUACCCACAUGUAUAACCGCGCUGUUUAACUUAGGGUUUUCAUUUGAACUGUACUUUCCCUUUUAUAAUCCUAAUUAAUAACUGGCGGAUAGAGUUCUUCUACUCAACCUACUAAGUUUCGAGUUCAAACUCUUCUCUUUAGUGUAACUUAAAUUGUAAUAUCAUUUUGUAAUAAAAAAGAACCCGUAUCCUGGCCGGAUCCUCUUUGUGAGAAUUCUGGGCAUCCUUUAAUCAUGUCCGUUCAUCGUACAUCGUAAGGUCAUAAAUUAUUUUAAAUAUUUUUAUUUAAAAUUAAACACAAGCAGUACUUGACAAAAACUGAUCGUACGUACAAUGUAUGAUAAACAGACACAAUUUAUGGAUUCUCAAGAUCCUCACCAAAUGGAUCCGGAGAUGAACCUGUUGGAUAAAAAAAUAACUCUACACAAAAUGCUUAAGCGAAGUACAAUUUUAAAUACAGAUAAUUGUGAGCACUACUACUUGAAAAUAGUUAUUCCGUACUCUUUACUUUUUUGUUACAUUUUAGUUUGACAAUACUAAUUUGCUUGAAUGAUUCUUGUGUUUAGCACUUACAUGCUAACUUUUUAGUUUUCAUUUAAUUACCUUCUCUAAAGGGCUAUUAUAGUACAGGGUUAGGUGUGAAGAAAAUAUUUAUAUAAGCAUUAGGAUGAAAACCUGUACUAGGAGUUGAAAAGAUUUUUCAAUGUACCGAAAACACGGCUCAGUAUAUCAAGUGUAAUAAUACGAUUGAUUGGAUUUUUUUUAAAUUUCCAACUAAUUCUGUUAUUACACUCAUGUACUAAACUGUAUUACCGAUACACUGAAAUUUUUCUAAAUGAGGUUGGAGUUUGGACUAAAAGAAGAAAUGGUUAAAGGUAUAAGGAUAUUAAAAGAUUUUAGGUGGCAAUUAACUAAUGCAAAUGUGGAAUGUUUAUCGUUAUUUUGAAUCAUUCUAAAAGAGAAUGAUAUCCAUUUUUUCUUUUUACGAUUUAAGUUGACAAUUUUGCCUUAUACACUAUUGCCGCUCCAAAUUGCUCCUUCAUUUCCAACUGCACCGUAGAAGUACAUGACUAUUUCUUCCUUUUCAUUAUUUUCAACCGUCUAGUUAGGAACUGGUGUUGCUCUCUUCUCCCCAUCGAAGGGUUAGUUGCUGCAAGUAGUUUUUGGCCUUGUUUGUGCUUUGAACGUGUGGUAACUUUGAAUUACAGUGUUUUCCACACAUGGAAAACAAGUUAAUGAGCCCAAGGUUAUAAAUAGUACUUGUGGUUUGCUAUAUGUGUUUAAUUAAGUAGUGUGGUAUCAACUUCAGUAAAAAACAUGAACGAUACGUAAAUAUAUUUACAGUAAAACUUUUAUAUAGCAAUAAUGUUGAGGUCAAACUAAUUUUAUUAUUAUAAAGCGUUAUUACUUAUUAGAGAUGUAGUUAAAUAAAUUGAUUUAGCUAUCCUUAAUAAAAGUGAACUAUAUUAGUAGUGGAACAUGUCAAGAGGUUGAGAGUAUGAAUCCCACAUCGAGAAAAAAUAGACCUUGCAUGUGCUUAUAAGUAAGUUGAGAUAUUCUCUAUAUUGCCAAUUAAUUUUAUGGUAGAACCUUAAUUUUGCCAUGUGUGAAGCUCAAUGGCCACACGGACUCCAAGUCACCCGAUUUAUGUUGUUCACGUAUCAGGCUUGAAAAUUCACCACAUGUGAGAAGAUGUACUGAGAGUAUGAAUUCCUGUAAAAAUAUGACUCCUUGUAUUGAUAUGUGAAAGUAUUACAAUAUAUAUCGGGUUAUCUCAAUCCCUAUUUCGAUAGGACUAUACUCGUAGAGAAAAAGGCAAGGGGAUUUUCUCAAGUCAAGAAGAUGACUUGUUAUCUAUAACUUCGGACUCUGUUGGAGUGGGAAGUAGUAACUAUGGUUAUACUCAAAACCAACCAUUUCCCUACCCUUCAUAUCUCAUUCCUGUUGGCAUGGAAUUGAGCGACUCAUGGAAACAAUCCGAGACUCAAUCUUCAAAUGAUUUUGUUUAUGAACAACGUCAACUAAUCUCGGAUCCAUAUGGGUGGCAUGUUAACAAUUACAUGCAAAACUAUUUUGGGGAUUUAUUAUUUGAUAACUACUCUUCACAAUACUCACUCUAUACAUAGAGAUGAUGAAGAUAGUGAAAAAUUUGAACCUCAUAGGAAUUCUAUGUGGUACUAAGUCACUCAUGUAUAUUAUCAUGCAAUGUAUAAAGUGUAAAAUAUUGUACUAAUUCAUUAUAUAUAAAUGAUUAUAAUGUGUUUAAACUUCUUUCAUUAAUUACUACAUAUUUUCUACACUCACAAUGUUUGCCAGCUCGCUAUAUAAUCAACUUGAUAAUGUUAAAUCCAUCAUGCAAUGCAUUUCCUUCUAAUUUUUUGUGAUAAACUAAUAGAUAAUUGACUAAAUAAUCAUCCUGCAAAGUUUCAAUAAAAAUUUCCAAGUUUUUCUUACAAUUUCCAUGGUUUCCAUAUUAUUUUUAUCGAUAUCGAUAAUAUCUCGAUAUUUCCAUCGAUAUUUCCGUGUUUUCGGACUACCGAUAUUUCCGAUAUCAUCGAUAUUUAAUACCUUGCAUAAGUCUUUAACUGCAAGGAAGAACUCCAUAGAAAUCAAGAAAUAUGCAAAUUAAAGAAGCUUAAAGAAGAAGAAAACUGAAGAAUCUCUCAAUAUAUUUCUUUAACUGUUUUGUUAUACAACCGAUUUAACCAAAGUACAAGAGAAAAGGAACUAUUUAUACUACUCUAUUGAGGCCUAUGAAAUACUCUAUAUGUGCACAUGUUCUGCACAUGUACAAUGAUGACCUGGCAUAUUAUUAUUUACUUAUCCAAUAAUAAGCUCGAGCUCAUAAGGAACAAGUUGAGCCAAGCCAUCCCAAGGCUAAAGUUUGUUAUACACACAAGUCGAACUCAAGCUUGAAAAAAAUCAUUUGAGCUAAGCUUGAGCUAUACGGUUUUAUCGUGUUUGAGUACUAAAAUGGAAGUCAAACUUAGCUCGGUAUUUAACUUUGACUUCGCUCAUGUACACCCCUAACUUCAGCAAAAAACUAAAUAAAAGGGAUCUCACACACUUCAAGAGAACAUGGAAUCCAAUCAAGUAACAAUAGCCAACAACCCAAGAUUUAAGGUUGUGGUCUAACAGAGGGUUGAGUUGUUUGGGGCUAUGUACAAUUUGUUAGUUUGUGAGAAUUUUAGGGCUUUAAUUUAGCUCUUUUCAACCGUUGUUUUUAGAGUCAUAUUUACGUGUUGUAUAUGUAUUUGUGUCGAACUUUUUUUAAUUUUGAAGAAUAUCGUUAUUUCAUAAUAUAUAUACACACACACACGAACAAGUCCCACUUUUUGGUGUUUAGUUAAAGAUAACUUCUGCAAAGGGGCAGCUGGGAAUGCUUAAAAUAGAAGCAGUACAACUUUUUGACGAUGUACAAUCAGGAGGAUGAAAAGAAACUAAUUAGAAGUUGUACUAAAAGGUGAUAAGUUGUUAAAAAUGGUUAAUGUGAUAACAUUAUUAAUAACUUUAGGUUGGCUAUAAUGAAUGAAGGUGUUCAUCAAAUAUUCCCAGUUUAUUGUUUUAUAUGGAUUCGUUCUACCAAAUUGUAAGCAGCUUUUAUUGAUGUUGACAAUUUGUCUCAAUAUUCCGAGGUAUAACAGGGUAGAUGCUCCUCCUGUGAUAUCGAGCUUCACCGUAGAAUUAAAGUUGUGUAAAAGACUUUUUCUUAUAUACUUUGCUUUCUGCUUAGAAGCUGCUUCUCUGCUCAGUCUCGGGGGUAGAAGCUACUGGUUCAGUUUCAUAUAAAUUUGAUCCUCUGUUCCUUGUUUUUCUGUGUAAUAUCCUGGUGCGCGUGUGUGUGUACAUAUAUACAUAUAUGUUGGAAAGGUUCUUAUGUGUACAUCCGCUACACUACGCAGUAAGACAAUGUGGUGUAUGACAUUUACACAUUAUAUUUACACAUUAUAACCCUAAAUCUGACAUAUCUAGUUAGUUUUGAAUUAAUAUGUAUCUUAGCCCUAAACCCUAAAUGUCAUAUAUGUGAUAUAUUUGUCAUCUUUUAACUCUCCAAACUCCAAGUAAGAGAUCCCAGAGAUAACGCACACAUUAAUGAACACAAUAACAUUAUAUUAAUUGAUAUCAAAAUUCACGUAGGGACGAUGAGGUAUACAUAAGUAACCAUCUUAUUCAAUUAAUACUAGAUCAUACUUUGUAGGUAGUGAAAAGCUUAACACAUCCACUCAGGCACGUGGACCGUUCCUUGGCCCUUUUUGUUAUCAGUUGUUGUCGUACCAGAACUGUUUUUGAAGAUAUGAAACCAGUUUGUCAUCGACUUGGAAGGCCUUGGCUAGAACAUCAGGAUUGAUGGGAGGGUUGGCGCCGAACACUGCAUUUGCUAUGGUGAUGACUCCUGGAUUCUGGCUGCUAAGACCAGCAAUGGCGACAGCACUGGUAUGUCCCACAUUCAGUUGGAAGUGAAUAAGACCAACUGGGAACACAAACACAUCUCCCUUGUUCAACACCUUGGUGAAUAGACGAUUAUUUGGGUUGGACGUUACGAACCCAACGUAGAGUGUACCUUCCUGGAGAAAAAGGAUUUCCGUGCCGCGAGGGUGAGUGUGGGGAGGGUUUAGGCCAUUUGGUGCAAAGUCUAUGCGAGCUAGGGAUAUGCCGAGAGUGUUUAGUCCUGCUAUUUGAUCCACAUUAGCAGGUGUUACCGUUGAACCCAACGGAUUUUGUGUGCUUCUUGGAAUUUGAAGCCCAGAAAAGAAGAAAUCAUUUGCUGAUGCAAGCCUUGAGUCCUUGCAGAAUUUCCCGUUCACAAACACUGCCAUUACACCCGAAAUACAAAAAUUUAUUUAUUUAUCAAUAUAAAUGAGACAACGUACAUGAUUAACACGAACAAUAUAUAUGAGCUUCUAUUAAACAGGUGCCAAAUUGUCAUUACAUGUGAUACGUACAGAUAGUAUUACUAUCGUACGUACAAGGAACUAAAUAUGUAUGUACUAAAUACUAACGUACUCAUAUUGUUCAUAUGCAUGCUAUAUAUAUUUUCCAUGCAAACUAUACAGAAAAACAAUCUUCAUACAAAAUAUUCCCAAUGGCUUACGAAAAAAUAAUUGUAAAAAAAAAAUAGUAUAUAUACUACAUGUAUAUUAAUGCUAUACCCCCUAAUUUGGUGUCAUUAAGUGCAACGCAGAAGUCCUGGAGGGGACUGGGGUCAGAGGCAGAGACAAGGGAGGUUGCGAAUGCCAAGAUGGCAACAAUGCAUACGAGGAACUGAGCACCUUUCAUGGCUAAUUAGGGUUAAACUUAACUUAAGAUGCCUCAAAACUUGUAUUAAUGUGUAGAGGGCGGGAUGAAAAUCCUGUAUGAUGCAUAGGCCUAUUUAUAGAUCGGAA